UUUUUUUUUUGGUAGGUCAUGUUGCCUCAGUGCAUUCACAUGAUAUUUCCUUUCUGAUUACAGGGCGCAUUUACUCUUAGGAAAGAAAUAGAACUUGAGCGACCGGGUAUAGCUAGCACAGCGAUUAGGCCAGACAACAAGAUCGCUGCAACUGCUGGUUGGGAUCACAGGUUUUUCCCCAUUCUUGGCUUUUACAGUUUACUGUCGACUAGGGAUGACAAUGUCCUGUAUCAACUUGUCAUUUGUCAGUAAUUAAAAUUAAUCUUAGCAUGGGGUUCCAGUGAUCCUGGAUGCUGCUGAAAGAAUGUGGAGGAUUCCCAACUCAUCAUCUCUUCCAGCCGUUGGCUUUUAAGUUUGCAAUUGUUGCAUUUGUGUGAGCCUUCUGUGUUUUUUCUCUUGCAGGAUUCGAGUGUAUAACUACAGCAAAGGAAAUGCUCUAGCUGUGUUAAAGUAUCACAGUGAUUCGGUAUGCAACUCGUUCAUCUGAUCGUGCUACUAACUUUCCCUUCAUAUUUGGUAUGACAACUUAGCCAAUUGAUACGGAUCCUCCAUGAGCUAUUCCCUAUACUAAAAAAAUGUAGUAAUGUCCUACCUCCGUCCUCAAAUAUAUGACGUUUAUCAUUCUCUCAUCUAUCAGAACCAAAAUAUAUAUGCAUUUGUUCCUGCUUGGUGCUAGAUUGAUAUCGUGUCCAGUUCCUUCACAUUCAGUUGGCCACUUUCUGCAGAUGAUGCUCUAAUUAAUGCUCAUCUUUUUGCUUGCAGUGCAACGCGGUGACUUUUUCGUCUGACUGCAAGCUGAUGGCUUCCUGCUCGACGGAUACCACGGUUGCAUUGUGGGAGCUCUAUCCCCCGAAAUCCUAAAGCAAGUUAGACAUCAUAAAAACGGAUGAGGCCUCAUGUUAAUUUACUUAGGCCUUCACUGCUGAAAAGUAGAAUAGUGGAUGCUACAUUUUUGCUUGUAUGUUAGUGAAGGAGCAUUUGGGCGGUUUGUCUCGCUGUGAGUGUUGUUUCUGCAUACUGAAAUUUUCGUGCCUCGGUGUAGUGGAAAUCUAAAAUUAUAUCGCAAUCGACUAAGUGAGGCUGCUGAGAAUUUCUGCAUGGGCCAUGCCUGACGAUGUACUUGGGUUAGGCCUUGGGCCGUGUUGUGUCGUGUAAGUUGGGCCCAGCGCAUGAUGAACUUUAAAGCGGCACUGAAGAAGAAGAACAGAGAGAAGGACUUAGUACUUGGGUUAGGACUUGGGCCGUGUAGUGUUGUUUGAGUUGGGCCCAAUCCGUGGACUUCAAAGAAAGGGCCCGCAAUCCUUCCUUCUACCGUAAAGCUUUGUAAUGUUUGUUUGCACACAAACGGUUCUAAGGCCCGUUUGUUUCUGCUUAUAAGCGGAUUAUUGGUGGAAAUAAGCGAGAAUCCCGCUAAAUAUUUUGCUUAUUUUCACUAAUUCUCGCUUACGUAGUAAGUCGCUUCAGAGAUUUGAACUACAAGAAGCGAAAAGCGAGAAAAUCUUCAAUUAGAUUAUAAUCCAAACGUUGCUGGGAGAAGCGUACCCAAACAGGCCUAAAUGUGAUCGAUCGCGCCACGAGAAGUCUCACGAGCAUAAAAACAUAAAGGCGAUUACAGAACAGCAAUUGCUGCCUUUACAAUUAUAUUAUCAUAACCUUCGACAUUCUAAAAGUCCAUGAUUUUCAAAAAAAAAUCCAUUAUAAGCGAGACACGAACAGCGAAAGAAAAUGAGACGAGACGGAGAAGUAUGCUAUCUCCUUUCCUUUCGGUCACUCCAUGACGAUGGUCUCCAAGACCGUCAUGCCAUGGACCGCCCCACCCCUCUGCUGCUGAGCUUGUUCCCGCCGCUGCGACGUGAGCGGGAACUCCUUGGCGACUGCCGCCAGCAUCGCACGUCUCGUCGCCGCGGCGUCGCCGGAGGAGGAGGCGGAGGUGGCGCUGCCCCUCGAGGUUGGCGACGACGACGCGGCCGUGGUGCCGUCCAGGGUGCCGUCGAACGGCGUCUCGCAGAAGGCCAUCAUGGGCACGAGCCUCUUCUCCACCGUCGCAGCCAUUGGGGAGAGGAUUCGGUUUUGAUGCGCUUGUUUAAGCUCGAGGGAUCGUCUCAACCGCGGGCGGGGUCCUCCGCCGCCCCUCGAGGCCGGCGACGACGACGCGGCCGUGGUGCCGUCCAGGGUGCCGUCGAACGGCAACUCGCAGAAGGCCAUCAUGGGCACGAGCCUCUUCUCCACCGACGCCGCCAUUGGAGAGAGGAUUCGUUUUCGAUGCGCUUUGGUUUAGCUCGAGGGAUCGUCUCAACCGCGGGCGGGGUUUAUAUGAUCGACGAGGCGCCCGUGGGUUGCCGACUCGUUCCCGGCUCGGAAGCCGAGAUCGUGCUGGGAUGGUAGGCAUAGGGGGUCUGGGAAUUGGAGCCGGACUCCUCGUGCAACCCGUGUGUGGAUCGGCCGGAAGACCCUCGUGCGGAUCGAUCGCUGGCUGAGUCAUGUGUCCGGCGACGGGGGGCGGUUUUUGGAUAUUCCAUAAGAAAUUAGCUCAUCCUGUGAUUCUUUUGCACAAGCCUACCAGGAAUUUUUUUAGUUAUAUGACUAGAUAGAUACAUGUAAUGUAUUAGGAUAGUAGCUAUGAAGGAUUGAAGGGCAAAUUUACUUGAAUCAGUGUAACAUUUCAUGUCUGAACUGCACCUGCAGAUCACGGCUUUGUCGAAUUGGAACUGUGCUGAAAGCACGAUUCAUCUUUUCAGUAAAUUUUAGGAUUGAUUUGAACUGGAUCAAAAUUCCCUAUGUAAAACUCCCCUUAUAACUGUACUAACUAUCAACUUAAAAUUAUGCAUUUCAGACAGCUUCAGCGCAUUAUAUAUUACAGAUCCAAGAGAUGCCAAGUGCAGAAUAAUUUUGGGCAUUGAUCAAUUUUUAUGUUUCUGAUGUUGAUACACUGAUGCAGCCAGGGCAGGGAUGGGACGUGUAAAUGCUGGGUGAUUGAAGAAGCUGGCCUCUCACGGUAUGACUUCUUGUUCGUGUACUCUACUAGCAGCUGGAACAAAACUUUUGUUUGGGCACAAUAUGCAGGUCCGUGUAUCUCCUUUAUGAAAAAGAGACUAGAGAUCUUUGACUAAAUAUCUCUGAAGAAUGUCAAUGUAAAGCGAAUGCACGCAUAUAGAAAUAGACAGGUGCGCACAUAGACAGGUUGUUUUGAACAUUUGAAGUCAUAAAAUUCAUCAAGGGAGUCUUUACUAGACAGCUUCCAUUCUUACCCCUGAAUGCAGAACAACUAUCAUCAAGGGAGCAAACUUGGAGUCAUACUUCUUAGUAUAAUUUGUGGUUAUUGUGGGCUUUGCCUUGUAUGGAUCUGGGAUCGUGUCACUGACAUGUGGGCCACCACAUGUUGAUGGCAGAUUCAAGGGAUUUUCAAAAAUUGCAGUGCCAUGGGAGGAAUUACCUUAACCCAUUCUUUUUAACUUCUUCUAGGAGGCCCAUAUUAACAGUCAAAACAAGCACAUACCAUUUCUGCAAGAUGUCACUUGUGAAGUCUCCUUCGCUUCCACAUUCCGGGAGAUCGGGCUCAAACUGCCCAACUAGUGAUGUAGAGCCACAAAGAGUAGCCAUUGAAGAAAAUGCAGAAUCUCACGUUGUAAAUCCUACAGAAGGUCCCCAAGAACAUGGAGAAGGUAUUGUGCAAUCACUCUUGUAAACUCAGAUGAUUCUUUCUUCCUCGUUGACUUCAUCCUUGAUCCUAGGCCUUGGAGAUUUUGUAACCUAUACAUGUAUAGGCAAAGAUUUCCAAAUGGGCCAGACCCGUUGGGCGGCCCGAGGCCCGACACUAAAAAGCACGGCACGAGCACGGACCCGGCACGAAGUGAAUAGUGCCAGGGCUGGCCCGGCACGAUGAUAGUGCCGGGCCUGGGCCGCCUCCCCGGCACGCUGGGCCAGCACGAGCCCGGCACGAUUUUUUGGCCGGCCCGAUGCGGCCCGAUCUAUCUACCAUAUAAAUCUAGAACCCUAAUUUAUCCUUCAAUUUUCCCCAUUUCCCCAAGAUUCCAGCCUCCAGCUCCUCCCACCUUCCUAGCUUCCUCCCGAGACCUUCCUGCUUGCUCUGCGCGGGAGGCCAGCCGUCGCCGCCAGGGGCCGACGCGGGGGGCCGGCCGCCGCCGCCGCCGCUAGGGGCUGACGCGGGGGGCCGGCCGCCGCCGUCGCCGCCGCCGCCAGGGGCUGACGCGGGGGGCCGGCCGCUGCCGCCGUCCGCGGGGGACCGGCCGCCGCCGCCGCCACCAGGGGCUGAGGCGGGGGGCCGGCCGCCGCCGCCGCCGCCAGGGGCCGACGCGGUGGGCCGACCGCCGCCGCCGCCGCCGCCGGGGCCAACCGUCUGCGGAGCCGGCCGCCGCUGCUAGUGCCGGGCCGGGCGCUAGCACGGCAUGGCCCGUCGUGUUGUGGGCUGGCCCGGCCCGAUAAAAAGGUCGUCGGGCCGGGCCUGGGCUGCCUCCUCGGCACGCAGUGCCAGCCCAGCCCGGCACGAAAACCCUUCGGGCCUAAUAGUGCCGGGCCUAUUAGUGCCGAGCCAGGAUGGGUUAGUGCCGAGCUAGGGUCGGGCGGCCCAUUUGGAAAACUAUGUGUAUAGGCACGUGUGCCAGUUGAGCUAGUACUUUGAGAUGAGCACGCACUAUUCCUACAUGUCCUUGCAAAUCGGAGCUCUCAAAGUCCACACAUGGCAAGCUUUCCAAAAAAAAAGGUCCACAAAUGGCUCCUCCUCUAAAGCCAAUAACAGGCAAUAUACAACAUAUCGCUGUGGAACUUCAACUGUCCACGGCGGGUGUACGUUCCUUUGUGGAAUUCACGCUUGAUAUUGUGCAACGUACUCAGAAUUACCAAUUAAUAGUAGGCGAAUAUACGCGAUCAAGACUUUUACACCAUUCUCUCAUGAGAAAUUUGCAACAACUUGGUUGACGAAUGAACACGCCAUCAAGAUCGACCAUUGAAACCAUGCAUGGUGGUGGCUUCUGCCUAUAAAUUCCUGGUAAGGUUGAUGCUUUUGAAAGCACACACACAGACACAGUCGAGAACACAUCCACACAACUAGCUACCUACUACUCUACUAAGCUCGCAAUGGCCUCCUCCAAGUCCAUAGCCUCCCCUGCGCUGGUGUUCCUCGCCAUGGCUCUCAUGCUCGCGGCCUGUGCCCAGGCCUUGGCACCAGCACCAACACCAGCUCCGGCGCCGUCGCAAGGUUCAUGCCCUCCAGGCUUCAAAAGCUACCUCGACUUGACAGAUUUCAUUCGAGGUGCCGGUCGAAUGGCCAUCACCUUUGUCGACCCUGCUUUGGUGCCCGUGGUUCGGAGCACCCUGACCCUCAUCCCACACACGGGCCUCAAGCUAUGUGUGUGCUUCAAGUCGAAUGUCAUCUCCCUCCCCAUCCAAUGUCUGUCAUACUAAGCAUGGAACAACAAGCAUAUAUGUGUGCUGCUUGUUAGCUACAUAUAUUACUAUAUCGAUAUGCACGAAUAAGUUGUUGUUACCUGCAUGCAUGUGUUGCCUAUACCAUGCUGAUCGACUCUGAUCUGCAUGUGUUUAUGCGACAGUGAGGUAAACAAUAGUUGACCUGCUUAAUUAUGUAUCGUGUGACACGUUUGUGUCAUUGAUUGUAACUGCUAUGCUCAAAUACCAUAUAUAAAAAUACAUGAACGUAGCAUGCCCUACUACUACUACUACUAUUAUUAUUAAUAAUGUUGUUGUUGUUGUUGGCACUGCCAUUAAGUAUGCAUGCUAAUCAUAAAGUUCAUGAUAUGGUGGACUAGUGGAAUUUCAACAUUGUCUUUUAGCACUGUUGUUACCCAUCCUUUUGUAAGAAAUACAAGGACCUCCUAGGCGUGCGACAAAGGGCACAUUCAUGUGAGUGGUGGGUGUGCCAUGUGCGUGAAGGAUAGCGUAGUCGUGGCUCACAGGCAUGGAUGUGAGGGUGGUGCGGGGCCUACAGGGAGAAGAAUGGGACGGCGGUGGAGAAAGGAGGUGAGGAAGAAGAAAGAAGAGAAGGACGAGGGAAGAAGAAGAAAGAUCUGAGCAAUGGGGCUAGAGACCGAAAUAACAUUUUAUCGUCUUUCUCUCUCCUACUCAGCCUAACAAUAUAAUACUAUUUCAAUCGUUGGCUACCAUCAAAUUUUCACAAAACAAGAGUGUGUUCCAGCAUAGAGCGUGAUCAAUGAUAUCCUCUAGCCCAUCACCUUCACUUUGCAAUGUCUUGUAGUAAUUUAUACGGAGAUACCUCCAAAUCCAGAACGGAGGUUAACUGUGGGAGAUUGCAAGUUUUGUAAGUUGCAUGUUAUGGCUAGAUGUGUGGGUCAACUUGUACAUGCAUGUAUUUUUCUUAGGGUGGGCGCAUGCAUGUCUUGGAGGCAUGUGCACGAUGCAUGGCGUUUCUUGUUCAUAUUAUUUUUUAAGGGAAUUAUGGUAGGCAAAAUGUCAGUCUAAAUUUGUCCUUAAAGAUGUGGCAAACAACAAAUUCAUAGCAGAAAGGAACAACUCAACACAAUAAAGAGUACCACGGAUUUCAUCACGAGAGAAACACAACUCCCAUACAAACAUUGGAUCCAGGCAGGUCAAAAAACCAAAACUUGUACAAGCCGAAGAGCAAUCCACAAUUUUCCAUAGAUAUAGUGUAUGUCUAGAUGUAUAAUAAUAUCUAUGAAUCUAAAAAAUAAAAACAACUUACAAUUUUGAACGGAGGGAGUAGUACUUUGAGAUGGACACGCCGUACGCAGUAUUCCUAGCUACGACUUACUUUGCAAAUCUAUAAAUCUAUAAGCUCUCAAAGUCCACAUACAAAUGGCAAACUUCUUGGCACCUCUUAUAAAGCCAAGCUACAAUACAAGAGAACGAUGCUUUUGAGCUUCAACGUCCACAGCGGCCGUACGGGAAUUUACGCUUGAUAUAGAUGCACCAAAUUACAAUUAGUAUGGGCAAUAAUGUACUAUUUAUACUAUAUGUAUGAUGAAUAAGUUUGUUGUUUAACUGCAUCGGCAUGCACGUGAGAGGGGAUGCUCGCCCAGCACUGGAAACCAGCGCUGCUUCAGUUCGGAGUUCAGAUGUUGCAGAUCACAGUGGAUCGUUUUCCCUCACUUCAAGCAAUACAGAGCGCACACCACAGUUGGUCAGUUGCAGUGAUGCCUUCCAAACUUGAUGCAGAAUUAGACUGCAAGAUCACCACAAUCCACAAUGCCUGCACAUUAUAUACUUCUUCCUCGCACCUCUCCGAAAGAACAAAAGAACACCAACAAUCCUGGGCAGAACCAUUCAUAUACAAUCCAAGUUAUCAAUUCCCAACAAAACAAAACAAUUCAAAUUUCUGUUUCCCUAACAGUCAGUAUAAUAGAUACUACAGAAGCAGAAUGCAGUAAUUUUUUGUAAUAUGGCUGGCAAUUUUUCUCUAACAAUUUUCUACUGCAUAAACUUCUCUGGCUGCCGUAAAACGCAAAAAUGGUACAGGGAAUACAGUUUUUUUUUCACGGUCAGGAAAUACUGAAUAUUUGUCAUUAGCAGAGGAUUAUUGAUAGGCUUUACAGAGAUAAUCACCAAAGUCGGGCCGUCAUAGACUACAUUGCUGCCGGUAAUCUAGAACGGCAUGCAGGAAGCUAGUGAGAUAGUCAUGGUUUAGUCAUAGGCUAUCCUUUUUUUAUAGUAGCUAGGUAAGCCCACAUCAAGGAGCAUCACAACUCUGGAAUUGAAGAGCAGGCACUGCCUCUGCAAUGUUCAAACUUCGAACUCCACGGACAAGACAGAUAUGAGAGAAGCAUUUGAAAUUCAUGUAUUUAAAAGAAGCAAACUAAAAUACAAGUUACCGAUGCGCCUCCCCUUUCUUCAAUUUAAUCUCCUUGUUGAGAUCUGGUAUUUCUUCUCAUCCCUUUCUUUUCCUCCUAGAGCAUUCACUAACAGAGUAUAAAGAUACGGUUUUGGAGCCUGAGAAAUUGUUUGUAGAGAUAAACAUUUGAAGAAAGUGUAUCUCCAGGAUUGUCCCAUAGCAAUUGUGGCCGCAAGUACCAAAAAUACCUCUGAAGAAGUUCUCUUCUAUUUCUAGGCAGAAAGUGAUAAGCUAGGUGUUGCCUCUCAUUGAUGAAGCUCUUGACAGGUUCUGAGAGCACAUGAACUGGGACGGAGCCUGGAAGCUGGUCCAAUCCUUUCUUCAGCUCAAUACAGAUGCUAGUAAAUGUCGGGAUGAGCUCAAUAUCACAGGUGACACACAACCAAUAAAUUGUCCACGAGAAAUAUCAGGGAUCACUGGUGUCUAUACAUGUUCUGCACACUGAAAAAUUAUCCGAGUAACUGCUAAUGAGCAGCACCAUAAAUAUCAGGGAUCGGGGAUGUUCAGAAUUAUUGAACUCAUGUUGCAUUCCGACAAUGGAUGGGGAUUGCAGAAUAAUGAAAGAUGGAUUGCCGCUUACUAUGGAGGCCAUGGUCUUGUCCCCUUUGGCACUCUAACGACACUACAUUUCAGCAGAGAAGCCUUUUGUCAUGCUCAAUCUUCAUGCUCUUCUUUGGCCUUCAUACUCUAAUUACGGUAGGCAAAAUGUCAAUCUAAAUUUGUCAUUAAAGAUGUGGCAAAUAACGGAUUACAUAGCAGAAAGGAACAACUCGACAUAACAAAGAAUACCACGGAUUUCAUCACGAGAGAAACACAACUCCCAUACAAACACGUAUAUUUUCUUUUAUUCCUAAUCUGUGUUGAUUUUCUAGCCUAUACAUGUUAGCUGGGCCAAACUCGGCACGAACAUUCUUUUUAAGAUCAGCGAAAGAAAAUGAGAUGAGACGGAGAAGUAUGCGAUCUCCUUUCCUUUCGGUCACUGCAACACGAUGGUAUCCAAGAUCGUCAUGCCAUCGACCGCCCCACCCCUCUGCUGCUGCUGCUGAGCUUGUUCCCGCCGCUGCGACGUCAGCGGGAACUCCUUGGCGACUGCCGCCAGCAUCUCGCGUCUCGUCGCCGCGGCGUCGCCGGAGGAGGAGGCGGAGGUGUCGCGGCCGUGGAGCCGGACUCCUCGUGCAACCCGUGUGUGGAUCGGCCGGAAGACCCUCGUGCGGGUCGAUCGCUGGCUGAGUCAUGUCUCCUUGUGGAUUUACUGAAGCACGCACUACUUAGAGACAAUCCGCCACCCCCGCCGGACAUUGGAGAGGCCGCGGCAGCGACCGAUGGCGUCGGGGGUGGUGCCGUUGAGGCGGUUGAGUGUGAGGAUGAGAACCUGGAGGUUGCCGAGCCGAAAGAAGGUGCUGGGGAUGCUCCCCUCGAGGGCGUGGGAGUGGAGGUUGAGACCUGUAGAGGCCGAGCCCGGCGGACAGCACGCGGAGCGCGGGGAGCCCAACGAGCCACCCGGGGAGCGCGCCGGUGGUGUUGUUGCCCGAAAUCUGGAGCUCCUGGAUCGCCCUGAAGCCCCUGAGCUCGUCGCGUCAGGGCUCGUCUCCUGUUUGCCAUUCUCUUUGGCCCAUGGACUUUUUGUUCUGUUACAGAACUGGGUAAACACAGGGAUGGAUCCAGCCCAUGAUUAAGUCGCAGCCUGCUACUAGGUGGACCUUUGCAGCUCCAGGAAAAAGUCCCAAUUUGCACUGAAAGUCCAGUGGUGGCACGGGCUGCCACUGGGCCUAUGCUGGGUCCGCCCCUAGGUAACCACAUGGGUUGGCUUUGCUGGUGAAAUUGAUGGCAAGAUUGAGCUCCAUAAAGCAUCGUGACUUGGGUGUAGGGGUAGAACGAAGAGAGCCUAGUGGAGGCAUAGGUUACAGAUUUUAGAUUCAAAUGAACUUUGAUCUUAUUUCAUGAAACUACAAAGUUACAUGCAAUAGUAUGCUCUCGCUCAACAUUUGGAUUGCAUUAGCCCUCCCCUCAAUGAUAAGCAUGAACAACACUGUUUAUGUUAUCGUGAUGGACAACUGCUGCCACGAGAGGUGGCUAAUAAGCACAGCACAGAGCACGCCACACUCUUUAAAUUCAGAAUUGAGACUAAUACAAACCAUGAAAUAUAAACGCAGGAAGUUUAUUUGCAUCGUUUAUUGUUCUUCAAAUUUCAUGAUACGUGUAUGCUAAUUAGCUUUCGUAUUAUGUCAUAAUCUAAUCCUUUGUGCAAUAUAUAGAAUAUUAGUAGAAAUUGAGGGAAACAUGGAGCAUAAAAGAGUAUAUGGAUCUUCUUAAAGUCUAUUUCAAUGUAUCGAGCUUGUUGCCUUUCAAGUAAAAAGAAUCAACUGGCGUCGUCACAGUAAGUCGAGCCUUGUGAGAGAUUUGAAGUUCAAAUAUAUCACACCCGCUUUUAAAAUAAAAUCAAGUACUACCCAUAUGUAUGUCAGGAUCUAAUUUCAUACAUAUAGUGAUAUUAUUAGUGAAUAACAAUAAUAAUAUCACGUAAAGAGAUAAAUAAAGACUUACGAGUCUAACAGAGAUACACAGCUUAAACCUUGGAAACGGAGGCUCCAAACUUCACAAGCAAACAACUGGGGGUUACGUACACCUAAAACUCAGCAUCAUCUUCACAACUUCACACCUUCAUCUUCUAAGCAGCAGUAAGCAACGGUGAGUACACUUAUAGCUGGUACUCAGGCCACGCGAAAUAACCAGAAUAACGAUUUAAGUCCAUCUUCAAGUUUAAUUAAUCAUGUGAGGAUCCAAACCGCUCUUAACCGUGAGCACAGCUAAUAUACUAGUUUACACUCUACAGAGGUUGUACACUUUUACCCACAAGUCAUGUAAAAGUUCAAAAAAAUUUGGACCCAACCAUGCGGUGCUAGCUAGGCACCAUACCACACUUUCAAGAUGUGAUUGCAUAGGGACGUUACGAGGCCUUGACAAAAAUUCCCUAGUAAGUGGUAACCCGCUGAGGUUUUCGGAGCGCUAGUAAAGCAUAAAAUCUCCCUAGUAGGUAUAGUGUUUUAGCAAAGCCCACUUCCCAAAAGGACUGGGUUAUACCCCAUCUGCCGCCGCCCCUCUUGCUCUUUCGGUAAGAUUACCCCAGACUAGAGUCUCUAAUUAAUUAGCCAAGAUCAGAGCGAUGAUUGUUCUUGUGGUUGUACUGUUUUCCCGGGUGGUUCUCCAUAUUCCAAUUAACAUUAUCAUGAUAUUAUGAACAAAGCAUAGGUAGAAAGAUGGUUAGGGAUACUUGCCUUUCUCCAACAAAAAGUUACUCUUACUUCCGAGCAUCGAUCCUUCUACUUGAAGCAAGCACCAGUACAAACAUACAAGCAAACAAACGAGUACAACUAAGAACAAUACACAAAAAUAAAAGAAAAGCUUUAACAGAACGUACUAAAGGAUAGGGCUCGAUCUAAGGAUCACGCAAACGCAGAAACGCUAAGAACGGAACUAUGGUUUAAAAUAUAAAGCUAUCGAGAGAUUUGGAGUAUAAAAGAAAAGACAAGAGCUACUUGCUACAUUUAUUUUAGUUGAGAAAAUAAUUUAAAGAUCUUUAAGAGAAAUACCCUUAAUUGGAAUUAAUCUAGUCAUAUUUAUAUUUACAUAAGAAAAGAUGUAAAGCUUAGUCCAAUUUUAUUUAUAAAUAUUUAAGUACAAUUUAUGUAAAUUAAUAUUUGAGUUUAUAAGAAGCAUGUAAAAGCAUCUAAGCAUAUAACUUUAUAUUUCGAGUUCAACUAAGCAGAUUAGUCUCUAACCCUAAUUAAAAUUUAUGCAUGUACAAGGUCCAGGGGGGAGGGGGAAGUGGAGGCGGCAGGCGGUGCCAUCAAUGGCAACCGGUGGUGGGGCGACGGUUUCCGGUGGAAGAGAGGGGAAACGACGGGGCAGCGGCUUGCGCGUGUGAGGCGGAGGGUCGCGUGGAGCUGAGGGGGCGAGCGGGGAGUGCAAGUGGCACCGGGAGGGAGAGACAUAGCGGCGCGGUAGAGACCGAACGGCAGUGGCCGGUCGGAGGUAGAAGGAGCUCCUGACAGGUGGGGCCACCUGUCAGUGAGGGGGAAGGGAGGGAGAUGGGCCGAGGAGGUCGGCCUGCUGGGCCAAACGGAGCGGGUCGGGAGCACAGGUGCGACUCGGCCCAAAAAGGAAAAGGAUUUUCUUUUUUUUCAGUAGUAAUUCUCGUGAAAGAAAAUCUAGAGAAAAUCCAGAUAUAACUCAAUUAAUUCAUGGAAAAAAAUGCUCUAAAAAUCCCAAAAAUUUCAUAAAAUUUCCUAUAGACAAUUUGGGACACGAGAAAUCCAAAUAAAAUACUUGGAACUCGUGAAAAGGAUUUUAGAGCCUUCCAAAAAUUGGAUUUAGGUCUUAGAAAAUGAAAAUAAAUUCCAGGAAAACUAGAAAAUUCUCAAAAGGGUCUAGACAACGUCUAAACACACUUUUGAAACUUUUUUCACUCAUAAAACACCAAGAUGCAUUGGCAUGAAUGCAUAGACACAGAACAAUCUUAUUUAAUUUCGAAAAACAAAUAAUUAUUUUUUCUACACUAAAUUUCCUGGGAAGAAAAUAAGUGUUGAGAAAAAUUUUAAAAUUAUAGGAAAUUAUUGUUUAAUUAUUCCUUUUUAAUGAUAUCCUGAAAUUCGAAAAUUUUAGGGUAUGACAACAUACUUAUGAGUUAUUUAUAAUUCUUGAAAGGAAUCAUUUGAUGUAGAAUAUGAUGUACAGAUGUAGCAUGAUCACAAGCAAAAACAUUUAGGAUAAUAAAAAUGUGAUAAUAUGUGAUCUAUUAAAAAAUUAGUUGCAAAAAGCCACAUGACAUUCCUCUGUUUUGUACAGAUCACACAAAUGAUCCCUUUUAAUGUUGCAAUUGAACAUGUUUCAUUUAUUAGCACAUAUAUACUAGACUUAGGUUUUCAUUUUUUUAACAUUUUUUAAGAACCCACGUGCAUGCAAACUACAAACGGGUGUAGGGGCACGUAGGCCGGGAGAGGUAUAUCGCUCGGAGCUGGAUCAUUGCAAGUUUUGUACUCCCCUCCGUUUCAAAUUGGAGGUCGUUUUGAUUUUUCUACAUUUAUAGAUAUUUUUCUACAUUCAUAUAUAUUAUUAUGCAUCUACACGCUAUAUCUAGAUGGAUAGAAAAAAAUUAUACACCUAGAAAAGUUAAAACAAUCUGCAAUUUAGUAAGAAGAGAGUACGUUGCAUUAUAUGCCGAGAUGAUGGCGAGAUGCGUGGGUCAAUUUGUAUACGCAAACUCAUGCAUAUACGUCGAUCUUUUUCUUCAGGCGCGCACUCUUCAAGGCGUGGAAAUUAAGCUGCAUGCAUGGCUCUUCUCGUUCGUAUAAAGAAUGGAUAAGCAACAACGUGCCUGCAUGCUGACUCUGGUAUAUCGUAUAUAUUCCUCAUCCUUGAUCCUAGGCCUUGGAGAUUUUGUAACCUAUACAUGUAUAGGCACGUGUGCCAGUUGAGCUAGUACUUUGAGAUGAGCACGCACUAUUCCUACAUGUCCUUGCAAAUCGGAGCUCUCAAAGUCCACAGAUGGCAAGCUUUUUGUUUUUUUAAUAAAAAGUCCAAAUCCGAGCUCUCAAAGCCAAUAACAAGCAAUAUACAACAUGGCUACCCCGUGCAACCUUGAGAAUUAUGAAUCAAGAUCACAAGAUGCUAAUCCAAUGGAUAGGGUCAGACUUGGUAUUAUUUUGCACUUAAGCGCCCCCCUCCCCCCCAAACACACACACGCCGACCACCUCCAUAGGAUGGGGGGCUUAAGUGCAAAAUAAUGUCAUCUCUGACCCUAUCCAUUGGAUUAGCAUCUUGUGGCCUAGCUCGAUUCAUAGUUUCCAAGAUUGCAUGGGGUAGAUAGUUUCCAGCAUUGUUGUGGAACUUCAACUGUCCACGGCGGGUGUACGUUCCUUUGUGGAAUUCACGCUUGAUAUUGUGCAAUGUACUCAGAAUUACCAAUUAAUAGUUGGUGACUAAUACGCGAUCAAGAUUUUUACACCAUUCUCUCAUCAAGAUCGACCAUUGAAACCAUGCAGCAAGGUGGUGGCUUCCGCCUAUAAAUUCCUGGUAAGGUUGAUGCUUUUGAAAGCACACACACAACUAGCUACUACUCUACUAAGGUCGCAAUGGCCUCCUCCAAGUCCAUAGCAUCCCCUGCGCUGGUGUUCCUCGCCAUGAUGGCUCUCAUGCUCGCGGCCUGUGCCCAGGCCUUGGCACCAGCACCAACACCAGCUCCGGCGCCGUCGUCGCAAGGUUCAUGCCCUCCAGGCUUCAAAAGCUACCUCGACAUGACAGAUUUCAUGCGAGGUGCCGGUCGAGUGGCCGUCACCUUUGUCAACCCUAAUUUGAUGCCCGUGGUUCAGAGCAUCCUGACCCUCAUCCCACACACGGGCCUCAAGCUAUGUGUGUGCUUCAAUUCGAGUCAUGCCAUCUCCCUCCCCAUCCAAUGUGUGUCAUCCUAAGCAUGGAACAACAAGCAUAUGUGUGUGCUGCUUAUUAGCUACAUAUAUUACUAUAUCGAUAUGCACGAAUAAGUUGUUGUUACCUGCAUGCAUGUGUUGCCUAUACCAUGCUGAUCGACUCUGAUCUGCAUGUGUUUAUGCGACAAUGAGGUAAACAAUAGUUGACCUGCUUAAUUAUCUAUCGUGUGACACGUUUGUGUCAUUGAUUAUAUAACUGCUAUGCUCAAAUACCAUAUAUAAAAAUACACGAAGCAUGCUACAUGCAUGCCCUAUUAUUAUUAUUUUUGUUGUUAUCAUUGUUGUUGGCACUGUCAUUACGUAUGCAUGCUAAUCAUAAAGUUUCAUGAUAUGGUGGACUAGUGGAAUUUCGACACUGUCAUUUAACUGUGGGAGAUUGCAAGUUUUGUAAGUUGCAUGUUAAGGCUAGAUGGCUGGGUCAACUUGUGCAUGCAUGUAUUUUUCUUAGGGUGAGCGCAUACAUGUCUUGGAGACAUGUGCAUGGUGCAUAGUCGUUUCUUGUUCAUAUUAUUUUUCAAGGGUACUACAGUAGGUAAAAUGUCAAUCUAAAUUUGUCAUUAAAGAUGUGGAAAACAAUGGAUUACAUAGUACAAAACAACUCGACACGAACACUCGUUUUAAGAUCAGCGAAAGAAAAUGAGACGAGACGGAGAAGUAUGCGAUCUCCUUUCCUUUCGGUCACUGCAAGACGAUGGUCUCCAAGAUCAUCAUGACAUGGACCGCCCCACCCCUCUGCUGCUGCUGCUGAGCUUGUUCCCGCCGCUGCGACGUCAGCGUGAACUCCUUGGCGACUGCCGCCAGCAUCGCGCGUCUCGUCGCCGCGGCGUCGCCUGAGGAGGAGGCGGAGGUGGCGCCGCCCCUCGAGGCCGGUGACGACGACGCGGCCGUGGUGCCGUCCAGGGUGCCGUCGAACGGCGCCUCGCAGAAGGCCAUCAUGGGCACGAGUCUCUUCUCCACCGACGCCGCCAUUGGGAGAGGGUUCGGUUUCGAUGCGCUUGGUUUAGCUCGAGGGAUCGUCUCAACCGCAGGCGGGGUUUAUAUGAUCGAGGCGCCCGUGGGUUGCCGACUCGUUCCCGGCUCGGAAGCCGAGAUCGUGCUGGGAUGGAAGACAUAGGGGUUCUGGGAAUUGGAGCCGGACUCCUCGUGCAACCCGUGUGUGGAUCGGCCGGAAGACCCUCGUGCGGGUCGAUCGCUGGCUGAGUCAUGUCUCCGGCGACGGGGGCCAGUGGCGUCGGGGGUGGUGCCGUUGAGAUGGUUGAGUGUGAGGAUGAGAACCUGGAGGUUGCCGAGCCGAAAGAAGGUGCUGGGGAUGCUCCCCUCGAGGGCGUUGGAGUGGAGGUUGAGCACCUGUAGCUCCGAUAAGAGGCCGAGCCCGGCGGACAGCACGCGGAGCGCGGGGAGCCCAGCGAGCCACCCGGGGAGCGCGCCGGUGAGGUUGUUGCCCGAAAUCUGGAGCUAGCUCCUGGAUCGCCCUGAGGCCCCUGAGCUCGUCGCGUCGGGGAUGGCGCCGGAGAGCGCGCUGUUGGAGAGGUUGAGGAACCGGAGGCUCGACGCCCCCGCGAGGGCCGCGGUGACGGCGCUGGUGAGCGCGUUCAUGGAGAGGUCGAGGAACUCGAGGCCGGGGACCGCGCCGAGCGACCACGGGACGCCGCCGCGGAGCGAGUUCGCGGAGGGGUCGGGGCGCGCGAGGGCCGGGAGCGCGCCGGCGGCGGAGAACUCCCCCGGAGUCCCCGGUGCGGCAGCUCGAUCGUGGUGGCCGCGCCGGCGCCGCCAGCGGAGUAGGUGACGCCGCGCCUGGGCCCGACCCCGCCGGCGCCUAGUCCCGCCGCAGCGCCUGCAUUGCUGCGACAUCCCCUCGCGCCGGUCGAACUUGAGCUGGAGCUCCAUCGGCAUGUCCCAGUGCCCCUGUCCCUGCUGAACACCGCUACCGUCCUCGAGCACUAGGAUCCUAGGCAACGCUGUCGCCGGCGGCCACCCACGGGGCGAAGGUAUAGUGGAACGGCGUCGCUAAUCUUGUUGAAGGGCCGCCGGGCACCUCGCUUAGGCCCGGUGCGACUCUGCUCCGAUUAGCCUGCCAAGCAGAGCAGGGGCUCUCACCGUUCGUUCCCAGCGCCGGCAAGGGGCUCUCGGGCCAGCCGCUCCAACCCACUGGAGAUGAUUAUAGAUAUGCUUUAUACAGAGAAUCACCAAAGUCGGGCCGUCAUAGACACUACACUGCUGCCGGUAAUCUAGAACUAGAGCACAUGCAGGAAGCCAGUGAGAUAGUUAUGCUUUAGGCUAAAAUGUGCAAGUUGUUGAGGAUUUUCUCCAAUGACACUGACACAAGUGGUUAGUCUGUACCAUGGAUUAUACCUGAGCAUGGUCGCAUCAGUGCCCAUGCCUCCUCUUCCCUUCCAAUCAAUGGACUCCCAUCUCCUCCCAAGUGCUGAUAGCAAGUUCAGCAGCCGUCGAACGGGGAGCCCAGGGACUAUUGGUGCAAUUUCAUCUUCCCAAUCUUCUCAAGUCCAGGCAGCGUUGUCUGGGCCAAACCCAAUCCGCACCUGCUUUCCUCAUAGGACGGCCCACGGGUAAUCCGGUCUCGGCUGACGGAUUUUGUUUCUUCAACGGGCCCAACAACGGCUUCUUCCUUCAUUUUUCAGACCACUGUUGCCAGUCACCAACCACCUCUGAAUGAAGAAAUCCCCCGCAGAAGAAACCACGAGUCAAACUAUUGUUUUUCACUCACUUGCGCUGGACUUGGCUUCCAUUCAAACCAAAUGGAUAUCAGUAUCAUCAUGUCGGAUCUAGCAGCUGGCGUCAAACAAAAUCUCACGAACUGCGGAGAGCACAAGAGUGACAGAUCCAUAAUCCAUUUACUGUCAGACGCAGACGAGACCGAGAACAACGACCAGAUCACAUUAUCCUCUCCGGUUCCAUUCAGUCUUCAGCUGCCGGGGGAGCCAAAAUAAAAUAUUGGAGUAGGUGAGGCAUGGAAGUAGCGGUUCAACAUCUUCUAUUCACUACUAUAAUUCAGCAACAGUUGAGACUUCAGACAAGAAAAAAUGCAGUAGGCGAGCACGAAACGUAGCCACGAGCAUCUCGUCAGAUGACAGGGACAGGGACACCACGGCGUCGAGGUGCGUUGCUCCGGAAGAGAUCGGAAAUAGGGGCCAGGAAUUCUCGACCGUGACCGUGCUGGUUGCUUUCCUUCAUCCAAGUGGGCCGCGUCUUUGGAUGGAGCACGUAUGCGGCGUUUAGUUUGUUCAUUUUUUUUCUUCUCAUCAUAAAAAAUGGGAUCUCUCCCAACUUGUGGGCACAAAAGGAGCUUUUCUACAAACAAAGAGCAAAAAUAGAAAUUUAACUUGACAUCAACCGCAAAACUUUCCAUCCGGGUUCUCUUUUUUUCUCUCUCGAAACACAGUGCGGAUGUAGAGACUCGUGUACAUGCACGAACGCUCUUGUUGCUAACCUAGCAUGCCACACGAAUGCGCCUGUAAUUCCUGUGAGCUUUGUUCUAUCGAUGCUGCAGAGUGUUCUGAUCUUAAAAUGCAAAGGAAAUGCUGUUGAACCCCCCUUAAAAAAAACAAGAAGAAGAUGGGGGUCUCAUUUUCAAACAUGGCGUAAGGCACUUAGGGACAGUCGAAGUUAUCGGUCAAAUUGCAAGCCGCAUCCUGUUCGUUCGAGGACGUCAGAGCCGAAACGGAAUUCGAUUUCCUGCUCGCAAAAUUCCGGUCAGUCGAUGUGCAUGCGAGUUCACACUUUCCACAGUUUCCUCCUUAUCUUCGUCAUGAUCCCAAAGUUCCAUGGAAAAAAAUUCAGACGAAGCCUACCCAAAUUCUAUUUGCUCGCUUCAGCAAUGACAGCAAAUUCUGAAAAAAAAAUCAGAAGAAAAAAAAAUUGCUGCGGACUCUAGCGGAUCACAUCUCAACUACUCCUAGAAAGCAUAUAGGAUAAUGCAGUUGCUGAGGUUCUUUCAAAAACUAACAAUAAUCCCGUGUCAAGUACUUAAAGCAUCGUUGACGAAACAAUAAUGCAUUAGUAGCACAUUUCGAACGAUUUGAAUGUAUAAUGCUGCGCAGAAAAUCCUGAGUUUCUGCGUGCGGAUUCUUUUAUUCCAAGUGAGCAUUCACAUGACCACAUUUUGUGAUAGCACGAGAGGAUGCAGGCAUGUUUUCUAUACUCUUCUUCUUCUAAACGUGUCGCAUUUCUGCUUUGAAUUCAGCUGCAAUUGGCCGGAUGCAUGGGUUGCAGUCAGACUGACUCACCAGUCUUCAUCAUCCAGCCCAUCAUUUUACUUCCCUGAAUUCAACACUGCUACCAACCACCUCUCAAACGACUGCACACGUGCCAUUGCAAAUUUCCAAGUGUUCGAGAUGCAACCUGCGAAGCUUCACUAGUCCAACCUUUUCUCACAACUCGUGUUAAAUUAGCGUCGAAAAGUCUGCGAUUAGGAAGCCAGCCUAUCAGAAAACGGUCAAACUUAAUCCCAACAGUCUUAGGCGAUCGAGUCCAAGACAUGCAGCAGACAUGCUGUUGCUGCAGCGAUGUCGCAUACGAGCGUCUCAACAACUGAAAGCUCGCUGCUCUUUUUCGACGAACUGCGAUCGAAAGUCGCCGGUCCAUGGCGUCUCAACAACUGCUGAUGAUUCGGGUGACCGGGAGCAGGGUCCAGGUUCAGACACACUCGUGUCAGACUUUUCUGAAGUCGCACCAGUUCAGCAAAAACUGCUCACCAACCGUCUCGCCCUGUCCUCUGUCCGGAAACGUACUGAUCUUUCUGGCCCAGGUUGAGUUUGGGUCAUCUCCGUCUGUUGAAUUUGGACCGGAUGCUUAACUUUGUCAACGACCGGAUAGUGCAGUUUGAAAGUUUGGAUCGAAACAAAAGAAGGGCAAUUUUGAUUUGUCUGGCGAAGGAGCUGAAACGCAUCGGUUCCUGCAGCUUGGCUGUCUGAGCUUUGUAUCUUAGAUUCCAGAGCGACAGGCAUGUGGUUACAGUUCCUGCCUGAUCAAUCAGUUCAUAAACUAAUCGCGAUGAUGUGCUGCCAAUGGUUACUCUGCAUUUGGUACGCAGAAUACUGUUACAGCUGCCGGCAUGAACAUGACUUGAAAAGUUAAAGAGUUUCUUGACCAGUCACAGUCUAUUGCGGUCUUGAUGACUUGAUGUUACAUUUGCACUUUAGGUAUGGACAACCUUCAUUCUUUCACUUUGACCUUGUGCCUGAGUCCUAAGCUUAGACCAGACCAGGAGAGCUGAUCUGUUCUUGUUCUAGGUUCAGCCCAUUUAUAAUUUUAUCUGCUCACAUUUUUUUGGAGAACACUCAGGAGCUCUGCAUUAUAACAUUAAGGAGAAACUUUUCUAUCUGAUGAAACUUAACAUAGGCCUCGAUGACCUGCAAACUGCAUCAUGUCGAGCUGCUUCUGACCAUGCGACAUCUGAGGAAACUCUGACCAUGCAACAUCUGAGGAAUUUCUGACCAUGGAAUGAAUAUUUGAGGAAAUUCUUUAUUUUAGACGAACCUCUUUUAUUUUUAGACGAACAUUUGGGGAAAUUCAGACCAUGCACCGUCAGUAGUGCAAGUCUGCAAUUUGAUGGCAGCAAGCACAUUAGCACAAUUGCACCGAACCAUUCCUUUUACGGGCAUGCCUAUCAUAGAAAUGUUACAAAGAAUUCAGAUGUCCGAAGAACACAACUGCAUGAAGAGUUUCUCUUCGUGAAGAAAAGCACCAGAAGAUUAUCCACCGAUCAAAGCAUGAAAGGUAUAGCUCCCAGUAUAGGAUGCUGUUGCCACUGAUUGCUGAAAGAGAUAGGGAAUAUCUUAGAUUUCGUAUUUGUGUUGAGUUGUUUUGAACUGAACCACUGUUUCCCCCUGAUCCUCCUCCCGUAUGCACUUUAACCAAGUCCCAUCAUGCCUUUUCUGACCUUUUCUUCUGUUGGGAGAUGCACAUACACAAGAAGGAAAUGCCAUUGCAUUGUAUCUUCUCAUGUUUGCAGCUCAUGAGAAGGUAAACUGCCACAGUAAUUCAAACGAAAUCUCGUGAUACCUAUUAAUUGAAAACGAAAAAGAUUAUCGCCCAUCGCUACUUUACUCGAAUGGGGAAAAGAAAAACUUUACCAUCGCCUAGCUUUAAUUUGUCCCCUCCCACACUCUUUGCAUCACCACAGGCGAAGUAAAGGAGACACAUGAUCACACUUCUGAAUCAUCGACCUGCGCAGAAAGUGUAAACUUAUUCGAUCAGCGUCAACGGUGCAGCCAAUCCUUGUGAUAGUGGUCGACAGAAAAAUAUAAUCUCCGACGAACUGAAUCGAAUAGCACCCCAACAUCGCGAGCAUUACAGCGACAUGAUGAGCCGGCGAUCUAACAGCCGAUGGACACCAGUAUAACUGUCGCGAAGAGCAAAGAAAGUUCUUUCAGGUAGUCAGCCAUCCCUCACUCGAAGUCUUUCAGCAGGGCUUUACCCCAGAUAGAUGCUGAAAGACACAUCGAAUAUGAGCACAACAUCUGUGCAGCCGCGUUGGGGUUCGGCACUGAGCCACUAGCAGCAGCUCACAAGUCACAACGGACACACAGCAAGCAGCUGGGGGACUGGAAGGAAAUGCUUUGGGUUUCUUGGCUGGGAGCUUGACAUGUUUUGUGCUUUGCCCGGGCACGAUCAGGACUGGGUUUGGCAGGUGUUGGAUCUGGAAUCUCGCAGCGCGCAAAUGGGCAACUGGAAUCAUGGAUGAGGAUUGAGGGAGGGAGAUGGACGCCGAAAGGUCACCUGGCCCCUACGCCCCCCUACGCCCCCUAUCUCUAUCCUCCUCAGGCCUCACUACCCUGCAGCCUGUGCCAACCAUCUUCUUGGAGGAGCUAGAUCUGGGGUGAUCCCCUCCUCGGCUGGGAACACACCACAUGCUCCUCAAGCGGCUGCAUCGGAACCUGAUCGGGAAACGAACGGCCGAGAUCGCGCGCAGGUUGCGUUGAGAUUCUCAAGUUUCAGUGGAGCACACCAGACGAUGCUCUGGUGGUCAUGUACACACAAGAUGGAUAGAAUUGCACGUGAAACUGUGGCGUGUAAAAAGGAAAAGAUGGCAGAGGACAGCAACCCUUGUGGCCACAACGGUAGCACGAACGCACAAUGUGCCAAGCCAAUUUGCGCUCCGGAUCCAACGAUGACAUAUACUGUGCUUGAAACGCAAGCUUCCUCCCGGUGCGGAGACAGGUGUUCGCCCGGAGUCCCCGAACGCCGCGCCGCGCCGGCGCUAUCGCCGGCGGCGACACGCAACAGGUCAUAGUUUAACCGGCGCCCGGGCGGCGCCACCCGGAGGCCGCUGUCACCUACCCCGAUGGAUCCCGGUCGCGCUCCAGAAGGAACAAAACCAACAGCAACAGGUCGUCCAACCAAAAAUUAAUGAGCGAGCUCGUCCCACCAACCAAUGGCGAGGCUGACAUGCACGGGGAGCAGAUGCAGAGCGAGCGACGCGGCGGCAACAGGUAGCGCACCCCCCCCCCCCCCCCCCCCUCUCAAAGAGCUGCGUUGAAAUCCGCGUCACGUCCGAAUAUCUUGGGGGAUUAUCCGGAGGUUCCGACGCCUCGCGGCCGCUUCACCUGCGCGGACGCCGGAGAAAGCAACGAGAGAGGCGGGGGGCAAGAGGAAGAUGCCCGGUAGGAUACAAGAAAGCGGCCCGGCAACGACGGGGACGGCGAGCGAGGCCGCCGACUAGCCGUUCCUUUCCCGGCUACACGUCUCCGAUGAUACUUGGGCUCCAAGACGACGUCGUCUCCGUCGCCGCCGUGCCCGUCUUGCUCGUGGCCAAGCGGAAUCUUGGAAAGCACCUUUCGUUUUUUUUUCCCUGCCUAAAGAAAGCAGCAGGCAGGACAAAUGGAACCACCGCUCGAGGUUUCCAGUAGAACGCUGAUAACAUUUUCAAAGAAAAAGAGGGAGCAAGAAACAUAGCAACAGACAAGAUUUUGGGAACUUCUUUUUUAUCUGAAUUACGGUCCUUCCGGUCUGAAGGAGGAAACAAACAACAAUGGACAUCCCAUUCACACGGGGAUGAAUACUCGAAAAAUGAAACUAGAUAGCAGUUGCAGAGAAACUUGAAGAGUUCCUUCUUAUUUUUCCCAAGAAAAAAAGGCGAACAGUGGACAACUGACGCAUCCGGAAUAAAAACGUGGCGCCAAGAACUCCGGCGACGACGAGACACCCGACGACUACGACCAUGACACGAUACAACACCGGGCGGAGGGUUAGGUUACCAACGCCGGCGACUGACAAACUUGCUGGCGACUUGUUUCACCAGGGACGGUACAGGGGAGCUUCUGCUGCUUCUUCAUCGUCAGACGGUGAGCCCGCGCAUGAACUCCCACUCCUCCUCAUCUUCUUCCUCGGCGGCGCCGGCGGCCGACCCCUCCGAGUCGCUGCUCAUGCCGCUGCUCUCCCCGCUGGACAUCACCGCGGCCUCGGGGUCGAACACCAGGUACGGCAUUGCGCCGAACGCCCUGGCGAGCGACGCGGCCGUGGCGUCGUCGGUCCUCUGCUUCAGCACCUCGAACAUCACCUCGGGCUCGUGCUGCAUCGCGCGGAGCACGUCGGCGCACGAGGGCCCCGCCGCCGCGCGCGUAACCGCGAAGCAGUGGGGGCCGUCGCUCUGCGUCACGCGCACCACGCUGGGCCCGCCGAAGAGGUUGUGCAGCCCGCCGAGGGCCUCCUGGUAGGCGCCCCCGAGGAACAUGCCCAGGUAGUAGCCGCGGGUGGCGUGGGUGGGGAGCUCAUGCAGCGGCAGGCUGUGCCUCCCGCCGAUGAACUCGCAAACCUUGCCGUCGCUGUCGCAGGUGAGGUCGGAGAGGACGCCGUCCACGGCCGGGCGCUCCUGCAGGCGCUGGAUGGGAAUGAUGGGGAACUGCUGCCCGAUGGCCCACAUGUCCGGCAGGGAGGUGAACACCGAUAGGUUGAUGUGGUAGGUGCGCGGCGCCUCGGGAGCGCCCAUGCCACGGGCGACGAUCUCGCAGAAGGCGUCGACCGCGGCGAGGUGCUCCAGGCCAAGAACCCCCUCCUUGAACUGCUCGGCGGAGCGGCGCUUCAGCUGGUCAACGUAGAGGCCGCAGGUGUCGUAGUCGCCGCGCACGGCGGCGGCCAUGACGUUGCGGUAGUCGGCGCGGCAGUCGUCGGUGAGCUCGUCGAGCAGGUAGGCCGUGGCCGCAUCAAGCUGCCCGGGCGCCGUGGCCGAGAAGGCCUCGAACACCAGGACCGAGUGGUGCGACACCAGCGCGCGGCCGCUCUCGCUGCAGAUGAUGGGGUGCUGCACCCCCUUGCGGUCACAGACGCGGCCGACGGCGGCGACCACGGCCACCGCGUACUCCUCGAGGCUGUAGGCCACCGACAUGUCGGUCUGCGCCGAGUGGGUCCCGUCGUAGUCGAUGCCGAGGCCGCCGCCAACGUCGAUGACGCGCAUGCCAGCGCCGAGGCGGGCGAGCUCGCAGUAGAUCUGCGCGGCCUCGCCGACGCCGUCGGAGAGCAGGGCGGUGGUGGGGAUCUGGGAGCCAAUGUGGAAGUGCAGGAGCUGGAGGCAGUCGAGCAUACCAACGGCCUUGAGCUUGGUGACCACGGACAGUAUCUGGGCGGCGUUGAGGCCGAACUUGCCCUUCUCCCCGGAGGUGGAGCCGAAGUGGCCGGCGUGCUUGGUGCGCAGCUUGGCGCGCAUGCCGACGACGGGGCGCACGCCGAGGCGGCGGCUGGCCUCGAGGACGAUGUCGAGCUCCUCCUCCUGCUCGAGCACGAUGACGGUGUUGAGGCCCAUGGUGCGCGCCGUGAGCGCGAGCGAGACGUAGCCGUCGUCCUUGUAGCCGUUGCAGACGAGGAGGGCGUCCGGGUUGCCGCGCGCGGCAAGGCAGCUCAUGGCGAGGAGCAGCUCCGGCUUGGAGCCGGCCUCGAGGCCGAAGCGGAAGGGCUCGCCGAACUCGACAAUGUCCUCGACGACGUACCUAUCCUGAUUGCACUUGACCGGGUACACGCCCUGGUACCUGGAGCCGUAGCCGGUGGAGCGGACGGCGUAGUCGAAGGCGGCGUUGAGGGUCUCGACGCGGUGGCGCAGCACGUCGGGGAAGCGCACGAGCAGGGGCAGCGGCAGGCCGAGCCCCCCGCCGUCGCGCGGGCCGGCGGCCUUGGCCACGACCUUGGCCAGGUCGAUCUCCUGCCCCGGCAGCGUGGCGGCGCCGUGCGGGCGCACGGCGACGUCGCCGUCGUCGUUGACGAAGAAGUAGGGGGCGCCCCAGCCGUCCACGUUGUAGAGCGCCGCGGAGAGGUCGGCCGACCACGCGGCCGCCUCGGGUUUGUCGGCCGCUGCGGUGGCGGAGGUGGGCACCGCCAUGAGCGGGGCCGGGAAGCGCGCCGCGUCGCAGGAUGCGAAGGCGUGCGCCACAGGUGUCGCGGCGUCGACGGCGAGUGCAGGCAUCUCGUCAAUCAAAUCAAACAACAACCGGAGAACGCUAUUGAGUCCACAGGGGAAAAAACCUUUUUUGGGAUUUGGUUGUUUUUUAUGUGCAGUAGUAAAAUUGCUAUUGGGUGGUGGUGGUGGAGUUAGCUGCUAAUGAACAGAAUCGGAUGAACAAAAGGGAAUGGAAAUCGGCUGAGGAGGGGGGCGGUGGCAGCUACCAAAAUAAAAGGGAAAUCAAUCAAAGAAGAAAACAAUCGAAAUCGAAGGGGAUCGAGAUCGAUUGUUGGGGAUGCCAAAAGAGGAAGUUCUGGAAGGGGAGGUAGAAGAACUCUAGGACGGGAUUUUGGAUCCUGUUGUGAGGAAGGGGGCUUUGAAAGCCGCCGAGGCCGGAGCCCCGGCUACCCCCGCAAACGGAGCAGGCUGUGGGGGCGCGCGCGGCGGGAAGGGUGUCGUCGCCGGAGGUGGAGCCCGGGCACCCCACGCCGGCGGUCAGGAGAGGGGCGGGUAUGAGCUUGGCGGGUCGGCUGCGGCGGGUCGCCGCGGCGAGGGCUCGCUCGCUCGCGACGAGGCGGGGGCGCGGACGGGCGGGCGGGGCGGCGGCCAAUCAGAGGCCGGGAGGGCGAGAUGCGGGAUGGGCGGGCGGGGCGACUGCGCAAGCGUCGUGGUGACCGAGGUGAGGGUUACUGCGGGGCGCGGAGGGGUCUUUUAUAGCGGGCCGCGGCACCCGUGGGCCCCGCCCCUGCGGCGCCGCGGGCCUUCCCUUUUGUUGGUGGCCUGGGCUUGCUUGGUUCGCGGCUGCCUGGCCUGCCGUCGUCUACGCAAAACUCUUCUAUUUUCUCCUCUGACUCUCUCUCUGGGAAGGGGGUAGGUGCGUCGCGGUGAGGUUUGACCCGUUGACCCUGGGCACUCGGGCCCGCAUGUCAGACUCGUGGCUGGGGGGGUGGUUGGGCCCGUGAGUUGCGACCCGGCCGCUUGGCUCCCCUCCCCAGUCGCGUCGCGGCGGCCGAGCCACAUGGCCCCGGUGCUGGCGGGCUCGGUGGCGGUUGUUGGAUGCUAGCGCCGCCUCGGGGUCACGUUCUUUGAUCCCUCCCUUGCUCCGUUGCGUGGCGCCCCCCGGGGGCGGGUUAGCUGGCGACGCGCCACGGCCGUCGGAUCGCCCAUCGGGCGGCCGGGGCCGCGCGAGAUCGGACUUGUGCGGGGGCUUUGUAUUCCGUUUACUCGUGGGGGGAUCCGCUGCGGCGGCGGAAGCAGCAGCGGAGGACGGGGGGUCAUCCGGAUUCGAACGCGCGGCCGGGGGCCGCACCGCGGGCGUGAGCGGGAGGCCGCGACGCGAGGGGCAUGUGACUUGUGAGGCUGCUGUGAGCCCAGCGGAUUCGGGGAUUCCCCUGGCUGCCGCCGCGAGAGGCGAGAGCAACUCGUUUGACCCGUGCACGCGUCCGGUGCCGUCCGCUCGCUCGCCGGGGCCGGCCGCACCGCGCGCCUUCUCUCGUUUCCUUUCCGUCGGCGGGGGAAGAAAAAGAAUGGCGUUUAUCCGUCCAGGCGAGGAGGCCGGGGGAUAAGGAACAAGCUUUGAAUUGCGGGGAGGGUUUUUCCUCGCUCGGCCUGUGGAAAAUUCCCAAAAUUUUGGUUUGGUGGAAAAACAAUGGCUAUGCUGAUGCGUUAUAAAUGUAAUGCACUAGAUAUAUAUCCUAAAUUAAUAUUCAUUUUGGCUUUUCUAGAUACGUAGUUUAGGUGACGAAGGGAAUAGUUCCGACUAAAAUGGUUUAAGUAGAUUUUUUUUCGUCUUUCUCUUUGCAUUGGUGAGAUACAAUACACGCAUUUUAGCCCAUCUCUACGCUCCCAUAUAAACAUUUUUAUCAUUCUCUUUCUUGCAACUCGUUCCCUAAAUUUUUUUCUUGCUUCUUAGGUAGAGAUAGCAUGGUUCGCGUAUGAGCUUGUUGGCUCAUGCGUGGUUUUGGGAACGCUAUCGAGGUCUCCAUUCGUGUUCGGUGUAGUGUUGGUCAGACGUGUCAAAAAUACCUUAUCUGUUUACUUUGGCAGCAUCUUUAUCUCCACCUAGCUCUAUACCUCAUUAUUGUCACCCUCCAUCACAAUCAGCUAUGCACUACUCUCUAGCACAAAUUGACAAACGCUUUGUAACUCAAUGCUUCUGCCAUUCCAUCUGUCACUAAGGGGAACAUUAGUGGAUCAUGACCUAAUUUGUACAUCACCUUUACGAACAACGGAGGCUGCUCAAAUGGACCAAAAGUACCUUGUUCGUCAUGUUUUGUCGGUUUCAACGCUCUUCGCCACCUUACCUUCGUUUCCCCCUCGUUGCAAUACCACCCUCCCCCCACCGAUUGGCUGACACUAUACACCGCUCUCCGCCACAGAUCGACUAAUGCUAUGCAUUGCUCUCAACCAAUGUCCAUGCAACGUAAAACAAAUGCCCAAUUCAAAAUUACAUCAUCAUUGUUCUUGUUUUGCAAGGAAAAGAGAACUUUAUUUAUUAUCUAGAAGCACAAAUACAGUUGGCGUGCUCCUCGGGCAUUAAUUUUCUCUUUGCACAUCAUCAUCCAUUUAUUUCAUCCAGAAAAUGAAAGGAAAAGCCACGACGGCAUUCGGUGGCUUGACAAGAAGAAGUUAUUUGUUGAUCUUAUAUUCCUUCGAUGACGUUGUCAGUGUUUAAUUGCUUGCAUCUAGUAUAACGUUUUCUCGCACGUUAAAAAAAAAAUCUUGUUCAUCGUUUCUAACGGUGUCACCGCUCUCCACCUCCACCGAUGAACAACCAAUGGUCUCCGUCGUCUUCUGCACCAUGGUAUCUCACAGACAUGCCAGAAAUACCUACCGCCUCACCGCUAUCCCUUCCCAACCGUUGUCAUGGCACCCUUCACCGCCGAUCGACCAACGCUAUCCACCACCAUGUUUUUCGUCACUCCCCGCUGCUAAAGGUGGACAUGCGUAGAGCGUGAACUGAAUUUCAGGCCAACCACGGAACGGGUUUUCGUGUCCUUGGAAUUCUGAUGAGCCUUGCAAAAAAUAUACACGACCAAAAAUAAACAACGCCGGGCGGGUGGGGCGGGGGCGCCGCAGGAAGAACAGAACGCUAAGUAAGGAAACGUGGGGCCCGCAUGGAAACGUCUAGAGUCCACAGAGAUCUCGUGUGGGGAGGGGGGGCAGGCAGUUUGUGCAAUUGUGCAUGCGAAAACGGAGGGCCAAAUUGAAAAGAAGAGCACACCAUUGGUGGUGCGAAGUGAAGGAACAAGGGGGUGUGUGAUUCGACGACGGCCUGACGAGGGGCCGCGCGCAAAACAGGCUCCAUCCAUGCUGCUCCAGCAUCAGGUGGUUAGGCUGCGGGGCCCAACCCAAAGGCCCGGCCCCUUCCUCUCAAUCCUCUCCCUGUGCGGCAGGCUUUUCGAGGAGAGGUGGUAGAUGAUGAUGGGCGUCGUCGGCUUCUGGAAAGAGGAGAAUCCUCGGGCCGGCCUCGCCUGUUCUGUAUGGGCUGGGGGGCGUCACGGAAUCCGCGGCAGGACCGCGUGCGUCGUCGGGACGCCGCGUGUCAGCAGGCGGGUCCUGGCCCCACCACGCCCCCUCCGCGUCCUCUCGAAUCAAAUCCGCUACGCUUCGCUUCGCUCGCGUGCCGAGGAGGCGGCGGCCAAGAAAGGCGACGCCGACGUGCGUGGUUGCGUCGGCCCUGACCUCAGCUCGCUCAGGGCGGGCUCACAGUUUUGCCCCUUUUGAUAGCGCGGCGACGCGUCCGGAAAUAUCGGCGAGAUUCCUUCCCGGCCGCGGACGGGUUCGUCGUCGUUCGGCUCGGCCGGCCGGCCGGCGAGUGAACGGGGGACGUGGCCGAUCGGCCGACGCGCCAUCCUCUGCACUCUACUGCAGUAUCUCCCUCCGGUCCAGCGUACCUGUGGUAGUUUUCAGAGGCCGUCACUUUCGCGUGGCGACCGCGGGCACGGCACGAUGGCUGGACGAUGUGGUUACAAUGUUGGACAGGUGCCGUUCGUCUAGCUCCCUAGCUCGAUCUUCUUCGAGAUCGGUCGGUCCUGUAACUGUAAGUCCUGACCUAACGCUAUCACCAAGCUGGGAGAUCGUGGACACCAGUUCGUAGUACGCAGCAUGGGACCCUCUAAUCCUACCAUCCUUGUAUCUCUCUCUCUUGUGAAUCGUUUCUACUCUCUAAUAGCGACGAUCUUAUCGAGUGUCGAGUCACUGACCGUGAAAACCAUGCAUGCAGUAGGCUAAGGGCGGAAAACGCGUGUUCUUCCGCGUUCUUGCAACAUGUUGUACCGUGUACUCUGUACUGGUGGAGGCUCAUGCGUGGCGUAGUGCUGAGGAGUCAGGAGUCAGGACCGAUGGACGAGAGAUUCUGCGCCGACGGGACGGCGCGUCUCCACUCCUCAUCGAGCCGGCCGGUCGAUCGAGCCCCACCUACACGCUCGGCCGGGUCGGUAGGCACGUUACAUGAUGCCGGCCGGCCUAGCUACAUUGUACGUACCACUCCAUAGACCACAUGCUUCUCGAUGCUGCUACUCCUAUAGUAGAGAGUAGACAUUACGUUACACAUGCGGCCCUUGGAGACCUAGCGAAAGCUACAUUUGGGUAGAAAAGGAUGUAAAGCUACCAGCUAGUGUCUAGUAGGCUUUUAUCGAUGUCAGGAGCCCGGUCGUUGGCCGGAGAUGAAGGAGAAUUAUGGAGCCUGCUCAUUCGGCGGACAGGUGGCCGGACCAGGCUGCGAAACAUGGAGCCAUACACCUCCCCUGGCCCUGCCGGUCGCCGCGCUGAGCCACCCAGGUCGUGGAGCGUGCGCUUGCUGGUGUCGCCGCGGUUGGCUCGCAGCACCUGUCGGAUUUCCCUUCCCCCGCGGCGAGCACGGGCCGGGGGAGGCCGCAACCCGGGGCAGGCAGGACGAUGCGAUCUGGCCCGGCGGGCAAGAGCGAGCGCCGCGCACGGCCCGGGGUCUCUCCAAAGUCCAGGCUCCGGAGUCCCUUUCGGAUCCUUAUUCCCAGAUACGUAUACAUCAGGCAUGAAUGGGAUCCAGCGACGAAAAGCAACGGGAGUUUUUCUCUCUCAUUUUUUUUUUCAGACGGGACCAUCAUCCGUGGCUCCUUCCAAGAAUGCCGGGAACAAGAACGACUUGGUGAAAGAUCUCCACGACUCCUCCCAAUCUAGCUACCGGGAGCAGUUCAUCUGCAGUAACCUGGAAAGGGAUCAUCCAUGGUACUGCACGAGAGCAGAAGAUGAUGUUGUGAAUGGAGAAGACAGUCAGGCACGGUCACACGGGACCCCGACCGGCCCUGGGGACGAUCACAUCUCAGCUCGAGUUCCGGCCCGCGGCAUCACACACAUGCUCCGCCGCGCCCCCGUGAUGUAUUCACGUCCAUGCCGAUGCACAGCGUACGUGCCUGCCGACCGGCCGAUCAUCCACCACCGUACCCCGCGCGACGUCGAACAUGCAUGGCCGAGCGCGGGCCAGACGGCUGGACCUCGCCGUCCCAUCGUCGGGACUCGUGAGAGCCGCCGGGGCCUCCUCUGCCAACCAUGUGCCGACCCACGCGCGAAAGCAGCGGAAGCGUGAACCGUGCGAGCAUCAUCGCGUCGAAAAUAGCCGCAGAGACUGGCCGCGGCCGGGCCGUCGUGGCCGGCAGGGAAGCGGCAGCGUCGCCGGCGCAGCGCAGGGCUAUGCGGCGGAGGCCAGCCAGCAGCUACGGCCAUUGCCAUGUGUUCAUGCUCACUGUUGGGACAGGGACACAGGGUACCGUCCGCUCGUGACGUCCCCGUCUGGCCGUUGCGGCUAGCUAUCCAAGCAUGUGAUGGAGUGAUGAGCCCUCUGAGUAGUCUCUGACUGGCGACUGAUGCCGUGAUGCCCGGAGGCGGGAGGCCGGCACAUUCAGAGAACCAUCAGAGGACAUGGGGGGAAUAGAUUCGCUCCAGCGAUUCGUCGCACCCGGCGCCCGGCCGGAUUGCACGGCGCGUGGCAGUGGCACCACCGCACCAGGCUCCGACUCCGCAACAGUCCUGCACCCUGCAACCCCACCCCACCACCCAGGCACCCAGGACCCUGCUCUUUCCGUGAGGUGUUCCGUUUCUUUUUUGAAGGGAGUGAGGUGUUCCGUUGGUAGUGGACCUGGAUCCUUGAUUCUUUGUGAAUGAAACAGGUAAAGUGUCAGGUUGCUGUCUUGUCCGAUUCAAGAGAUGAAUAAUACGAUUGCUGUCUUGUCCGAUUCAAGAGAUAAUAUGAUAUCGGGAAAGAGAACCAUGACGCGCACACUUUUUACAUGGAGGCUCCUGAUGAUCAAUGUUUUCAUGGAGGCAUGCAAGCAUGCAGCUCUGCUCUGCUGUAACUUUGGUCACUAGAAAGAAAAGGCCAUUACCACAUGUCCACUUGGUACAGAGAAGACCUAAUUAAAUCCGGUCGCGGUUACAAAACGUAGCCUAAACCCAGACGGCGUUUCUAGCCCGGCUGCUGCUGAGCGGCGUUUCUGUUCCUCUGUUGUGCUGGAUGAACUAUGACGACUCUUAGCACUUAGCAGCAGGUUUGGAUGUUUAGAACCUCCUGAAAUUCAUAUCACAUCGAAUUCAUAUCACAUCGAAUGUUUGGAGGCUAAUUAGGAGGAUUAAAUAUGAGCUAAUUAUAAAACUAAUUACACAGAUGGAGGCUAAUUCACGAGACGAAUCUAUUAAGCCUAAUUAAUCCAUCAUUAGCACAUGUUUACUGUAGCAUCACAUUGUCAAAUCAUGAACUAAUUAGGCUUAUGCUCCGUUCCACUGACUUAUUUUUAGCACCCGUCACAUCGAAUGUUUAGAUACUAAUUAGGAGUAUUAAACGUAGACUAUUUACAAAACCCAUUACAUAAGUGGAAUCUAAACGGUGAGACGAAUCUAUUAAGCCUAAUUAGUCCAUGAUUUGACAAUGUGUUGCUACAGUAAACAUUUGCUAAUGAUGGAUUAAUUAGGCUUAAUUAGGCUUAAUAGAUUUGUCUCGCCGUUUAGCCUCCACUUAUGUAAUGGGUUUUCUAAAUAGUCUACGUUUAAUAUUCCUAAUUAGUAUCUAAACAUUCGAUGUGACACGUGCUAAAAAUAAGUUAGUGGAAGAAAACGCCCCCUUAAUAGAUUCAUCUCGCAAAUUAGUCUCCAUCUGUGCAAUUGGUUUUGUAAUUAGUCUAUAUUUAAUACUCCUAAUUAGUAUCUAAAUAUUUGAUGUGAUAGAAAUUUUAGGAGGAACUAAAGAAACAAACACCCUAAAGCCAUGAACUGAAUUAGUUUCGUCCCUUUUGCCACCCAUCCCAAGUGGCCAUCUUUCUAGCCACAUGGAACGCCAAAAAAGAGCGCCCCGUGACCUAAUCGAUAGCCGAUAGACCUAAUUUCCCAUCAGAGAACAAACGGCCCGCGUGCUUUCUUUUAAUUUUCCGUGCAUAUACCGAAUCGGAUAGCCCCCUUAUUUUAUAUAUAAGUAAGCUUGUUGGCUCAGAAAACUCUGCAAAGAUGAUUGUGUGAUGAUGCAGCGUGCACCUGCCGCCCGGCUAGCGGCUAGUGUGUUGUACGUAUAAACAAGCAAGACGUGGAGCAACCAAACCUAGGCUUAUCCUGGGAUUCUUUAUAUGGGCCCUAAAGAAAGAAUCCGGUCCAAGGAUCAUCGCACGCACACUACACAUACUGUGCGUAAAGUUCAGUGACGUCGCUCGAUCGGAAUCCUUUGGGAAAGAGCAAGGACGGGCAGUCCAAUGUGCGGGUGCUGGUGCCGGGUCGGAGCUGCUAGGUUUAAUCUCAUAUUAAAAAUUGACGAUAGAGGAGUAUAACAAAUAUAUGGGGCAGCCUUCACCCAUCAGGUUAGUCUUCCACCCAUCAGGCUAGUCUUUGGGGUUGAGUUAGGCUCAAGGUCGGGAAACCUGAAACAUCUCUGGGUCACAUGGUGAUGGGGGAGCUCGUGAACAUCUUCGAAGGGUCACACGGGGUUGGAGUUGGGCCCGAUUUCAGGAGAAGGGUCACACGGGGUUGGAGUUGGGCCCGAUUUCGGAAGAUCACAUGGGUUGUAUGUGAUGGAAGAGUUGGACCCAAUCAGUGAUGGGGAGAUUGUUAGGUUUAGUCCCACAGUGAAAAUUGAUGGUGGGGUAGCUCUCACCCAUCAGGCUAGGCUAGUCUUUAAGGUCGAGUUAGGUCAAGAUCUUAUUGUUGUGAGCUUCGAUGGAACUGAACCUAAUGGCCCCGACUCGUGGGUAUAGCGGAAAGGAUCGGAAUCCACUGCGCACUCUGACGAAGCGCACUCUGACGAAACAAAACUGCGUAUUGGGCUCACGGCGUGGCAUAGGUCGGGCGGCAUUUGGAGAUGGAGCACAUGUCGGCCAAGAAGACUCGCAGCAGCUGCUCGAGUGUUUUCUUUUCCACUGACCACUGUGACCCUGAAACUGAAAGCCACUCCGGCUAGCCCAGCAAUUGACGCCGUAUUGAUUUCUUCACUGCCGAAGAAACGAAGGGCCAUUUAUUACUAGUUAUUAUCCCUCAAAAAAAUUUAUUAGUAGUUAGGCUCUAUAAACCUUCCACGUAGGAAAUAGAAUGUGCUCAGGCUACGGCUGGCGAGAGCCGCUAGCACACAUCCUGUGCUGCAUGGGCCCCACCAUCUCCACGCCCCCUCUGCCUCGUGGGCCCGACCAUCUCCUCCCUCUCUCCCCACCUCUUGCGCUGGGCACGGCAGCGGCGCGGGGCAAGACAAGGCGCCAGCGGCGCAGCGAGCUCUCGGCCUCGCGCGAAUCUCGGCACGGCCACCAAAGGAGUUUGGGGGCAGGGCACGGGCGAGGUGCGCGGCUGGGAGGCAGGCCCGACUCUUAGGGGGGGCAGGCAGUGGGACCGCCGAGGGCCCAUGAAGCUAGGGACCAAGACCAUAUAUGUAAUUAGUAUAUAUAAUUUUCUAUUUGACAUAAUAACCAUUUGAAGGCCCAUCACAAAGCAACCCAUGUCAUAGGUAACUCUCCCUUCCAAUUCUAUUAUAUGUAACCUGAUCCAUUGAGCGGAGGGCAAGUCGUAGGCGACGUUUCGUUUGAUCAUUUCCUGCUGCCACGACCCUGCCUGCACCCCUCGCCCCGAAUGUCUCCAUUGCAUAUCGAAUUCUCUUAACUAUUCCGGUGACAGUAGCAUAAGCCUAAAGAAGUUCCUCCAAAUUGGAACUAUUGAUAGAAUUGUUUGAGAUAAACUAUGUUGCAAGAAAGAUUGAAUGGUUUGACUAUGUGCAGCAUUGAGAUGGAUGUUUUGGACGACAUUAAUCUUGAUACUGUUCUUGAAGAUUUUGCAUCAAGAAAUGCCCGAAGACAAUUUUUUACAAAGCAUUAUAUUUUUAUCCGAGGCAAUCAUAAUGGUUAUUGUUUUUAGUUUUUUGUUACACUAUUGUUAUGUUUUAUGAGCUAUACAUAUAUUGCAAAUUAAUUUUUAUUAUUUGUACUAUAUACUUUAGUUUUGAUAUUAAAAAUUAGUUCAAUGGACUUUUAUCUUCUUACUUGCACAAGGGCUUUCAAAAUUAUAGAGCCGACCGUGUCCAUGUUUGGAUGAAAAUUCAUGCGGGGUAAGUCGGACCUUGGGGGAAUAUAACGAAUAUACUCUAUAGAUACAGGUUGGUUGCAUCCGCUCAAAACGGACGGAUAUGCUCGACCCACUUCCAUCUCGUCAGCUCCGUCUCGAUUCCGUCCAUGUGCCGCAGAGGAGCUCGCAGAGGUGGUCGCCCAGGGUGCAGGGAGCUUCGCCACUGGCUUGUCGAGCUUAUCCUCUGCCCAGGUGAGCUCCGCGGGGAUGAGGGGAAGCCGGUGGAGCGGUGCGGAGCAGGGCCGCAUGGGCGUUCAGGGGCGCGCCGCCGCGGGGAUGAGUGGAGGCGGGGCCGGCCGGUGGAGCGGUGGUGGAGGCGGGGCCGCACGGCGGUCGGGCCUAGGCUGCCGCGGUGAUGAGUAGAGGCGGAGCAGGGUCGCACGACGGCAGUUCGGGGCCGCGCCGCUGCGGUGGGGCCGAUGGAGCAGGGAGUAGGCCGGUGUCGCUGUUGGGGAGGUUGGGAUGAUGGCCAGAGAACGAAGAUAAGGAAAGAGGAUGACAAGAGGUCCUGCACUGACAGGUAGGACCGUUGCUAAUAGUGUUAAAAUGACAUCCAUCUCACCCCUCAGCCCUCUAACGAAAAAAAAUUAGAAUGGACUCAUCUCUAUCAACUAAAUAAGAGAUGAGUUAAACUUAACACACAAAAAUGAAUAGAUCCAACCCAUCCGCUGGAUCUCAAAACCAAACUCAUGCUAGGAACGUGUGCCUCUCGAGCCAAACGUUGCAAACUUGCAACAGGAGCUUGCCUGCACAAUGUUCAUGAUGGUACGGAACGCGUGACAUUGAUACACUCCGAGCUUUCGAUAAAAAAAGAAAAAACUUGCCACACGUGCCGCAACACAAAAAUGAAAAGGAAAACAAAAAAAAACGCUAAAGGUUUGUUGCAAGACAACACACACAAAAAAAAUGCUAGCCAUUAGCCACUAGGCCUUGUUGGGCCCAAGUACUGGGCCUGCAACGGCGCCGUACCAGACGGAGAGAGAGGAAACUCAACCUUUUGUGCGUUUGGGCCCAACAAGAGGACGGGGCCCGGGACCUUCAUUCGUUCGCGCGGGAGAAGUGCGCAGGGCAGACGAGAAACCGCGCGCGCAAAAGCAAAUCGGGACGGCGCAACUCCGCGCCGGGGAGAUGAGCUCGUCGACGUCCGGCCGCGACGAUGACGCGCCGGACCUCGUCUGCCAGAUCGACUGCGUCCACGGCAUGGUCGACGCGCUCUCCUCCGUCCGCUGGAAGCGCCACCAGGUCUGCCCAUAGCUCGCUCGCUCGCUUCCCCCUUCCUUCCCCAGUCCACCGAUCCACUCGCACUAACCCGGCUCCCCACCCCUUCCUUCUUUCGUGGCGCAGGACGCGGUGAUGGAGCUGUCGGCGCACGGGAUCGUGCUCACCGUCGAGGAGAGCGGGUGCCUCCAGUCCAAGGUCUUCCUCAAGCGCGAGGUAAGAGUCGGCCCUGCCCGUCAGGUGUUUGCGUUUAUGCCUCAUCUCGCCCCGGGGGUCUGACGACCCAUGUUUCGGGAUUUUCUUUUUUUUCCCCAGCUGUUCGUGGAGUAUGACUAUGCGGGGGACGGGCGUGAGCGGUUCGGGCUCAGCUUGGGGCUCUUCGUCGACUGCCUCAACAUCUUCUCGGCCCCAGGGCACGCGUCCGCCGUCGAGAUCCGGUACCCUGGCCCCGACAUGCAGCUUCUCCUCAAGUAUGUGUGCACUCUGGUGCUCAUGUUGUGCUCGUUUAAGUGGAUGCAUCCAGAAUUGUGGCAAAACCUGAGCAGAAUUGUGGCCCGACCUGGUCCCAUUAAGGGCUGGCUGAGCCUGUUUAGAUUCCAGAACUUAUCACAUAGAACAUUAGUCUUGGAAAUUUUUAGGAUAAAGCUGGUUCUCCAUGCCUGUAAUAUAAUUUAAGAGCAGGUUUGUUUGUUCGGACAAACUGCUGAAAGUUAUUGGUGCGAAACUUGCUCUAUGAUGAGAUGAAUGACUGAGAUUUUCAGUUUCCUAUGACCAUCUUGACCUUAACACAAGUUAGAACUCCUCUGUUGAUUUUAAGAUGUUUUAGUGGCUGCAGGGAUGAAUUUAACUUAAACCAGAUUUAAACAUAUGGAAUUUUGCCCAUUUGAGGGACUCUGGUAAUGUCAAUGCAGAUCAGUGGACUCCCCAGAUGCAUGUCUGUAUGCAGAAAUCAGAACCAGAAUUCCAGACACAAUCUCCUGGGAUUACAAUUUUGAGCAUGAUGGGAAUACACCAGUCACUUUUACCGUUAAGGUACUCCCAAUGCAUUUGUAUCUAUUUGUUCGCACUACACACCAAAUGUGUUUUAGUUUACCAGGAAUACGUGAUUCACUGCCUGAAAUUUCAGUCUGCCGUCCUGAAAGAAACAAUCGAUGACCUUGAAUGGCCAGGUUCCAGCAUUCAGAUUCGAAUGCAACCAGAUCCUCCAACAGUUGUUUUCAAAGGUGAAGGUCAUGGCGACUUGCAGGUUUGCUACAAGUUGGCAUGUAUUGUUCACUUAGCUUCCAGUUGUGCUUAUAACUCACUGUUACUUGCAUGCUUUGGUAGGUCGAGUUCCCCUAUUAUGCAAAUACUGACCUUCUAAUCGUGUUCCAAUGUGACCGUGAAGUGUCUUACAGGUAAAUUUCUUGUGCCUAUAGGCUCAAAUGGUAUACUGCUCUCUGCUAAUUUGCGGUCCGUACUGUUUUCUUCAAGGUAUAAAUACAAGUUUCUUCGUGCAACUACCUCAAAUAUCCCCAGUAGUGUCAUGAAGGAGAAUCGUAGGACUAAGGUCACAAUUGGAAGGGGAGGGAUGCUGAAAAUCCAGCACCUGAUUUCACUUGCCAGGCCAGGUAUGCCAUACUUCCGUAAUAUUGGUGGAGGAACUGAACAGACAAGCCGAAUCGCUCACAUAGAAUUCUUUGUGAAGCCAGAAGAAGAUGAUAAUGAUGCCUAGCAUUUGUGGAGUGUGUUAUUGGUCUGUUUCAUCCAGUAGAGCUAGUUUAUCAUCGCCUUAAUUACUAGUUUCAGCUCUCUUUGGAUAAACUCCUAGUUUGAGUAGUUUAUGUGAAACUGAACUCAGGUGUCAGGUCUUAGUUUCUGAACUGGCUACAGUCAGGCAGUCAUCCUGUUACUAAUCAUGUGAAUCGUGUUACAAUCAGACAGGCAUCAUGUUGUUCCUAAUCAAGUGAACCACAAGUUUCUGUCUUUGGAUUCGCACCUAUAUCCUUUUAUUCUGCAGCUUUUUAUCAAAAUGGAACAAAAUGUUCAGCACUUCAAUAGUGGUUCAGCCCAUAUUGAUAUCUUCAGCAAUUCGGCCCAUAAAUACAUGGGUCAGCAAGGCUAAUGAUAUCAAUAUGGGCCUGAACCACUGGCGAUCAACCUAUGAAAGCAAAUGCUUCUGUUAUGUCAUGCCAUAUUUUCCAAAAGUAAGCCGUACUUUAGUGGAAGGUGGUUCUGCUUGUGUCUUUGUCUCGUCAUAACCUCCCAUUGCCAUCGACGGGCCCCCAACUAAUCUGAGCUCUCUAGUACAAAAGCUAGGCAGCCUUUGAAUGGCCUGUUGAUCAAUUGUUACCCAUUCCCAUCCUAGAACUGUGUCGCAACUGUUCUUCCUGUCCCCUUUACCAUUGUUUCCUGGUUUUUUUUUUGGCAGCUCGUACAGUAUGUUACUUGUUCAAGUUGUUAUUCUUGCACUGUUGCACAUCAUAACAACUGAUCAAACAAGAAGCACAUAACGAUGCAAAACAUGUGAACUAUACAUUAUUAACCAUGAGAAGAAUGGCAAAUAAGAUUUAUUGUAGCCGAGCGCAAAGCAAAGGUCGGCAGCAUGGCUUGCUUGUAUCACUGAACAAUCUUUAUUAACCAGUGAAAGGUCCAUGGAAAAGGACUGCUGCUUUCUGUUGGAAUCCUGUUUCUUGUAGCUUAAUUGUUAGAGGAAAUAUCUACCUGACUACCUAGUCCUUAUUACCUUAACUUGGCAACAUGGGAGAAGUGGCAGCUCCAACGGACCGAAUUUAUCAAUGCCAGAAGUGUGAAUACCCUACUCAACCUUCUGAGAGUGGAAGUCUGAUCCUGGACAGCGCCAAUCUCCUUCGCUUUUCUGCUUGCCACUCUGAAUGCAUGCAAGGUAAAGAAAGAAAUCUUCUCCUCCUACCAUGUGACCUCUCAGACUUGAUUACUGCACUCUAAUACUAAAAGAUUGCUGGUAGCUGAGGUAAGAGCUGAUUCUGAUUGCCUCUAUGAGAUUGUUAAAUCACCAGAGGGUACGCCCUUGUGCUUUCUUGUGAAAUUGCUGUCCCAGUUGAGUACUCGAGUGACCCAAACCGAGAGAGGGCUGCUAUGAGACGCAUGUUCCUGUUGAGCAUUGAGUUGGAUGUACCUAAUGGCGUUUGUCCAUUCCUGUGACCGCGAAAUGGCAUCUGAUGUCACAAGAUACCCACCCACCCUUGAGGCGCAUAUUAGGAAAGCCCCCAAUUCUGUCGAGAGAAUGAGCAUUAUGGUGGGUCACUUAUUCGUGGGCGGCUUAAAUCCAAAUGAUUAAUGAGACAUGCCUCCCCGUGAUUUGAACACCAUGCGAAAUACUCCUAUGAAGACCCAACCUUUUGAGGGCAGUAAACUGGUUGCCAUGAUAUGAGUAAUUGCAUGCCAAUUUGGCUAUCCGAAACGUCGGUAGUAAUUUAUAACAUGGAUUUCUCUCUGUUUACUCGUUUUGUGAUGCAGUGGAACUCAUCUGGAUAACUCAAAAGAGCAUUAUUGAGAAAAAGAGUGGCAGAAAUUCGUUGUUUGUCAGGGGUAUAUUGUUUUGGCCAUGAUCAAGCUGAGCACAUUUUGGUAGUGUAGUGGGCAAGUGUAGAUCCAAGUGUACAGGUGCAGGGUCCAUAUCAUAGGCGUGAGUGACGCCAGGUGCCGUACCAUCCUGUGUUCCGGUGUUCCUGGCUGUGUCACUUUCACCAAUCAAUAUCCAUCGGUGACCACAAAAAUUAGGUACCCCAUGCUCUCUCCAUCGCAUGCGUGUCCAAACUCCAAACCCAAACGGUGUACCCGUAGGCCGUAGCUAGCUCACCUGCUCAGGACAAGUUUGAAUUCAUGGAAAUUAGGUACCCCAUGCUCUCGAUCGCAUGAACCCUUGUUUACUUCCCUCCAAAAUCCCAACUUUGACACUAUGCAAAAAGAAGAUUCUCCGUCACAUCAAACUUGCGGUACAUGCAUGUAGUACUAAAUGUAGAUGAAAUCAAAAACUAAUUGCACAGUUUUGUUGUACUUUACGAGACGAAUCUUUUGAGCCUAAUUAGUCAAUGUUUGGACAAUAAUUCACAAAUACAAACGAAAUGAUACAGUUGCGCAUUUAUGGAAAAAUGAUAAUUUUACCACUCCUAAAUUGGGAACUAAACAAGGCCUGAGUUUUGCCCAGAUUAACGGCCUGUUUCAAACAUGUACGGGGCGUGGGGCCCAGAUGUCAACCCCACGGUGCACGGCAUGUGUUGGCACGUCGGUCGUACGUGCCGGGUAUGGCAGCUGUACUUUCCAGCUGCGACGACGUCGAAGACGAAGCCUCAUCUCUGCGGCACGGCAGGCUCCAACCUCUUCGGGUGCCAUUAAUGGCCGACCCGGCUGCAAUCAUCGCGCUCCAUAGCAGCCCUCCUCCGAUCUCCCCAAUGGCGUCGCUUCGACCGGAGUUCCUUGAUGCGCCUGUAUGUGUAUUGUCGUGUCGGUUGGGUUGGACAUCUUGUCAAAACCAUUCCAUGUUCUUUUGCCGCCAAAUUUCGUUCUUGGUUAACGUACACAAAGACAGCAAUUAAGUAGAGCGACGGAGCGAGUAAUCACGAUCGAGCAGUUCUACACGGUACUUCAAUCCUAGCUAGCAGCAGCAGCAGAACGGAAGGAGCAGCCAUCCCCAUCAUCCACCGCACUUGGAGGAGAAUUGAACAACUGCACUACUACCUUAUAUGAUGCAAAAAAUGGGAGCGAUCUCCAAACCCUAACCACACCCCAUACUAAAACUAAACCGAUCCAUUCAUUCAUUCAUUCAAAUCCAAGAUAGGGACGUGACACCAUAGAUCGAUCGAGCACAUUAUGCAAAUCACAGGCUCGUGACCCUCUCGUUAGGCUCCUCGAUCGCUUUAGGCUGGUUCGGUGAGGCAUUGAUCGACGACGAUGCAAUUGAUCGUGGGGAAUCAGUAUGAGUUGGGCCGGAGGCAUAAUGCAUGGAUCAGCUGGCCAAUAAUUGUACUUGGCACCUACAGAUGCAGCUCUUUCUCAGUCACAUAACAUGCUAUCGCGGACUAGUACUGUGCGCACCACGGCAGGUGGCGCUAAUGGCGCUUCAAUUCGCCGGCCGGGAGGUGCCCACUGCAUGCGUGCGUCGUCUACUGUACAGAGAUCCAGGAGACGUAGGCGUCGGUUGCACCAGGAUGAAGUCACUCAUCGUAUAUAGGAGAUGCAUCGUGCAUGGUUUCAUGUUCUGUGGUUACACGAUGUGAUCUAUGCAACCAUAAGUUUUGUGAUACACGGGGCUAUGUUUGGAACGCAGGAAUUUCAUGAUGAUUUUAAUAAUUUUCAAAAGCCCGGAGCAUAUUUUCAAUUUUUUUUUCAAUACAUUAGUGUGCCUUUUUUAGCUGUGUACCGUGUGUGCACGCGAGUCGCCGUGUGCCGUACUGCCGUGGACCAGACAAAGCCAAGCCAACAGGACAACCGGUGGAUGACCGACCAAGCUCCUUCUUUGUGCAGGGAGGAAACAAAAGUCUCAGGGGCCUGGACAACCGGGGGGGCCACAAGAGGCCAUCGCUUUCUCGUAUAUACACCAUAUUUGUAUACAUGUACAUGUAUAUAAAUAAAAACUCCGAUGCAUGCAAUUGUGUUCUCUCUAUCAUCAGAACGGAACACGAGUUCAUCUGCAAUUCCGGCCUCUUAAAUGGGAGGGAGGGAAGGUGCUAAGCAUGGGGCAAGCAAUGAGAAGAGAGACGAUAGAACGAGGGUUGAAAGCUAGUGGUCAAUCGUCCUGGAGACACGGGUGGUUACGCAGCACAUCGAUCAGAUGAGACGAGACAGACGAGGCCCUUGCUUUCGGAGCUCAUGCCGGCAUUGCUAGUUGCUAGCCUCUCUCACCCUCUGUCCGGCCUGUGCCCUACCACCAUUUCCAUUCCACCAUGCUUGCCCACGCCCGGCUACUUCAACCAGACACUAGUAGCCUUUGUUAUCCCUGCUCUCGGUAACCUAAUCACAACUCUGCAAGAAAGAAAGCAUACAAUUUUGAGGGGAAAAUACAGGGAGAUGCAGUGUUUAUAGGGGGUUAGUGCAGCCGACAAUGUGGCUGGUUGCAGAGCUGCCCAACCUCGCCGCCGGUGAACAGCAGCACAUAACAGGAGAUCACUGCAAGUUUGUACCGGUAGGGUUCGUUCUAGCGUGUAGGUAACGUAAUUGUCGACACCUUUCCCGGUUUCCUCACCUGGGCAUGAGAUAUGUGAAUGUCAGGUGUUCACCCAAGCUCCAUAUGUGUGUUUCCGAUGACAUUUUGUUGCAUGGAGGAAUCUUGCAUGAUUUGAUUCUGGUAGGAAUUCCCUGUUCCUGCAAACUGAGAUCGACUUCAUGCAUGUUGCUCUGCUCCUCUUUGGCAGAGUCCUGCAGCCGCAGGGGUCUGCCAUGCAUCUAAAAACAUCCUUUUGCUUGGUUCUACAAAUCAGUUCAUGUAUGUACCCAAGCAAUGGUUGCACAUGUAGCUCAGUUCAGCACUUCAUUCAGUCUGUCUGAUGCACACCGAGUAUUUCUCACCCCCCCCCCCCCCCCCCCCCCCCGGACCUGAUGAACAUAAUAACUUUCUGUUGAACUUUGCAUCAGUUUAUUGGUUGUGUAACCGGACAGCUAAUGAUGGCGUGCUUAUAUAAUAAUUAAACAGGGGCAUGGAUGCUUUGCUGAAAAGAUAUGAUCAUGCUGGUAAUCAGCAAUACCCAGUGACCCCAAAUUAAAUGAGGCCACCAACAAACAAGAACCCGUUAGGACAUGCUACUGCUACUACAUGGCGUAUGAUUGGUUUCCGGUUUAGUCUCCUCGCCUUUUCCAGAAUAUUUCGAGAUUAAUAUGAACGCAAUGUCUAGCUGAUCUGGCUAGUUCUCAUGAAUAUAAUUGAAAGGAAAUGUCAGCAUCAGUGAGCUGAGCACCCGAGUAACAGUGCUGCCAAUAAAUGGCCUAGAUUAUUAGCACAGGGGGAAAAAAUUCCAAGAUAUGCCAAAUGAUAUGCCAUUACAAGGUACUGCUGUAUAGUUGGUAAAUAAAACAAAAUUUCCUUCUUUAAAAAACAUUUUUUUCCUGAACAAUUUUAGUUGGUGGACAACACAUGGCCAACCCCACAAUUAAUGUCCAGAAUGAACUGAAGGGUUGCAAAACAGGACAAUGAGAAUGGAAGUGCAUAUGAAUAGUGGUGACCUCCUUUUGCAUUUACCAACAAGUUCACCAGAUGCCUUCCUGCUGGCUCAAUUUUACUUGAAUCCCUGCUAGCCGCCGGAGACAUGAUGAUGUUCCAUCAUUUUGUGUUAUCUCUCACACCAGCAUUCCUGAUUAUAUUUCUCCUACUAUUACAAGAAGUCUAAUGAACAUACACAUCAUCUGUGAAAUAAUGUGAAGCCUAUGUUGUUGUUGCUUCCAAGCAAGAAAAAAGCCAUAGCAGAAUCCCUAACAGUGCCCUUAACAGUAUGCAGUUAUGCAAAGUGGGGAUCUCACAAGAGACAGCUACAUACAUCAAGAGCCCAAGAGACAAAAUUCUCAACAGAUGCAUCAUAUACACCCACCUGUACACGCAUGGUACCACAUGAUGUUUCAAUUCAAGGCAUGGAUCGAUCCAUCAGACCACUGCUGCUCGUCGCAACGGGGGAGCUAUCCAGCCACCGGAUCAAUGCAACGGAGAUUAAGUCUGACGACGAAGAGGUAAAGAGUACCUUGCAGCCAUGCUCAUGCUAUUAAUCCGAUCAUGGGUUUCAGGUUCUCAGCAGGGACGAAGAGCUUCCAUCACGCACGCCCAUGCUGUGGCAGAGUCUACGAGAUAUCAGAUAGGCCGGCGUCGUCUCCAGGAUCGCUGUGCAGCUUACGGAUAACCGCGUCGUAAUUCGCUUUCACCGAUCGAUCGGUGCGGAUCGUUCCUGAUGAUCAUCCGGUCGCUUCGGCCGACCACGCUCUCUUCAUCCAUCCACAGAUCAUACAGACCCAGAAAUGGUUCCAUCAGGUCGGUCGGUGUCUUUGGACCAUCGGCGUUUGUAGCAGCACAGUCGGCUGUGCCGCCCCAUGCUAUCUGAAAAUGGCACCGGCCAUUCAGCCUUGUUCGGUUGCUGUCUCGCUAUAGGCGUUCACCGCCGUGCAUGCCUCCAGAUUUUAGCAAUGUUUUCUGAACGAGAGAUUGUGUUGUAUUUUGUACCAAUGUUUGUCACUGGUAGUUCAUCUUCUUUCUAUGAGCGGUGGAUGGAUAUGCUCCAUGUGCAGUUGCGGCAGUGCGGUUGUCCUUGAAAUAUAGCAGAGUUGUUUCUUAUCUGUACAAAUGGAAUUCUUUCUAGGUAGCAACCCAGGGAACAUUUUUCUAUCAAGUCACUCACUUCCUUCGGUCAGUGUGGCUGAAGCAUCAGAACCUCUCUGAAACGCAUGUGGGCGUACCAACUUUUAUCGGCGAACAGGUGGUCUUGCCUGCAUCAAGCAUAAAGGCAAGCAACCAACUCCAGGCAUGGAUACGAACGUGUCAGCUCCGCAACACAGGGCCACAGUGCAGACUCGACGAUUCAUCAACUCCAAAGUCCAGGAUUGAGAUGAAGCGACAACGACUAACCGAGGCCCGCCCUGUACGUGGCGAUUUCUUCCACAGCCAACCACUAGUUUCUCCGUCCUCGAUCGAUCAGCGCCGGGCCCGGGCCCGGAGGGGGAUUCGUCGUUUCCAGCGUCCCCAGACCGGAAGGUCCCCGCCGGCGGGCGGCGGCUGCGUGCACGGAAUGCAACUUGAUCGGCGCCGGUGGCUCUGAUGUCACCAGUCACCACCAUGCCAUUCAGCAGCUUCUUCUUCUUCUUCUUCUUCUUGACAAAGCGAUCCAGCAACUUUGUGACACUCGCAAUGAGUCAGUCACAGGCCACACGCCCGCGCACCGUCCCUAGCUUCCACCUACAUGGUGACCACAACGAUCGGGGUUCCCCUCGCCAGUGACGCACGGCGCGGCAGUGCCAGGCUGCCUGCAUGCCGAUUCAACUUGGCAUGGACCAUGGCCCACGCGGUGUUGGUUCGGGAGGCCGGCCGACGAGACGACGACGACGACAAUGGCCGAGAGAACGCCGACUAGUCAACCUGACCGACGGGUCGCCGGAAAGGGGAGACGGACGCGAUGACCCGGUCCGCCUGCUGCCAUCCGCUGCUGCAAAUGAUGCCCCGACCCCCGAGCUCACUGACACUGCCUCUCGGUGCCCGGCGGCUCAACCCGUGAACCGCCACCCACCGCUCACUCUGGUGCGGCUGCAGUAACUUCACUUCCUCGUCGCCGGUCAGGUGCUGCGGCCUGCAGCAGCCACAUCCAUCCAUGAUCCGGCCAUCCCUGACCCCAAAAAACGAAAAAAAGAAAAAGAAAAGGUUCCCAAAAUGUCAACGGUCACCCUGGCAGCCUGGCUCGCGUCGCCGCCCAGCAGAGUUCAGUAGCGACUUUGAGUGCACGUGAGAGAUAAAUGAAUGAAAAGAGAGCAAAUUAAACGUUGCGUGCGUCUGCACAUGAAAAACAAGACAAGGGGAUGAGAGCGCAGUAACAGCAGAGCUGCCUGCAGACAGGGUACUGUCAGCAGCAUGCGUUUCCGUGUGGCUGACCAUUCUCUUUUGGCAUAUGCCCAGUGCCCAGACUUCUACUCCUGUUUUUUUUUUGUAAUUUUCUCCCCCACUGGCCAGCACGUAUAUUUUAACACCUUAUUAACAGCACGUAUUAUUUUUACACUAAAUGUUGCUAGCGGUAGGCGUGAUUGGCAGUGAGAGUUGAUCAGCACAAGUGCACAAGCCACUGCUGGGAGCGUGUUGCCGUUUGCCAGCAGAUACUGCAUCGCCGCACUCUUUCGUGCUCAGCUCACCCGCCAUGAUUUCUUUCUUGGAGAAAGUUCACGGCAUAUGGCACCCUACAUAAUUUCCUCUUUCUUUUUUUAUGCUUUCAGACGGUGUUGAUUUCCUUUUUAUUGAAAUAGUUUAUUAAACUGAAACACAAUUCAUUUUCUAAUUUUGUCAAGAUUUUUAUAUCGUUGACGCUUAUUACUCUCUUCAAUUAAGGUGACACCAGAAAUACACACUCGUCUCCCUUUCUAAAAAACAUGGGUUCCGGGUAAAAACUGAGCCUGCAACUUGAAGCACACGAUCAAAAUACACUUUUUAAAUCUAUGAGAAGUAACGUCCAUGUGUAUUUACGUGUAUUUGUCGGUACGAACACCUCGGUACAGCGUGCUGAAUGACAACCAAGAAAAAUAGAGGCAUCACUUAUGCAACAUAGAUGCAUAUUUGCGACAGGUGAAUUCCUUUACAACGUGAACAGUCAAUGCAUGCAUAUUUAUCACACAUGACAAAUUCAUCAUUACUAUUUUUAUCAUGCAGGCUUGCGAAGCCCAUCAACUUUUUACCCGAAAGAAAAAAAAAACCAUCAACUUUCAACUCCUCUCACACGGUCAUGGAUGAGGCCAUCCAAGUCAAAAAGGAGAAGACUAUAUACUGCUCGAACCCAACCAAAUAAUGAACCGUUAACCCUGGUCCGGGAAACCUCCAUUAAAUGCCGCUGGAUGAUGCAUAGCUUUCAGCUGCUGCAAGGCGGUGGCGGGCGGUGUGGCAAUCAUCCCCAACCCAAACCCACACUCUUUUCUAUUUAACCCCGCCAAACCCUUUGCCCAGACGCCCCCUAACGGAACUGGCGCAAGAAACCACCCGCCCGCCCGCCUCCAACCGCGCUUAAAUGCGCGCCUUUCUUCUUCCUCCGAGUUAAACCCUCGCGGGCGCCUCCGUCACUCUUACAAAAAGCAGGCAGCUUCCCCCCUGCGCCUCAGCUACUAGCUAAGCUAGCUGUACGCAGCCAGCUACAGCUGAGAGCCUGCGGCCGCCGUCGGUUGUGCUUGCUGACGGCUGCCGAGGUCGAGAGAGAUCAUCAGGAGCCCGCCGGGGAGCAAUGCACAUUGCCACCUGCGUGUGGCAAGAGAAGGCGGCGGCAGCGGCGGCGGCGGCCAUGGGGGCAGGAGGAGGCGGUGGUGUUGGUGCUGGGAAGAAGGGGGAGCGGGUGUCGGUGGCGGCGCUGGUGGCGGCGGCGGGCGGCGCGCUCAACUGCGCGGUGAGCUUGGUGGUGUUCUCGGUGCUGGACGUGCUGGACGUGGUGCUGUGCCUGGUGUACAAGCUCGUGGACUACGCCGUGGAGGCGGAGUGGAAGGCGUGCUACUGCACCGCGGCGGCGCGUGACGGCGCCGGCCCGCGGAUCCUCGUGCCCCCAGAGGCGGCCGCGGCGGCGCCGGGGCCCAAGGUGGUGCGGCUGUCGGCGUCGUCGGCCAAGAUGCAGCUGGAGGACGUGUCCGACACGCUGUACGUGCGGCCGUCUCUGCUUGCCGACGCCACCAGGAAGGGCGCCGGCCCCGCCGCGCCGGCGCUCACCGUCAGCCCCGCAAUCGCCGAGAUGAUCCGCGGCAAGAUGGACCGCCCCCCGCGCCCGCCCCGGCAGGCCCCGUGCUGGUCCGACUGUGACUGCAAGGUCUGCCACGCGUGGAGCGCCGCGCCACGCUCGGCGUCCCACCUCUACGUCCACGUGCAGGCGCCGCCGCCGGGGGCGCCGGCAGCGGAGGGGGUGGCGGUGGAGGACGUGGUGUUCAUCCACGGUUUCAUCUCGUCGUCGGUGUUCUGGACGGAGACGGUGUUCCCGGCGUUCAGCGCGGCGGCGCGGGGUCGGUACCGGAUGUUCGCGGUGGACCUGCUGGGGUUCGGUCGGAGCCCCAAGCCGGCGGAGUCGCUCUACACGCUGCGGGAGCACGUGGAGAUGAUCGAGCGCUCCGUGCUGCAGCGCUACCGCCUCGGGUCCUUCCACGUCGUCGCCCACUCGCUGGGAUCCGUGCUCGCCCUCGCACUCGCCGUCAAGUACCCCGACGCCGUCAAGUCGCUCACCCUCCUCGCGCCGGUACGUCGGCGGCGAUGGCCGGAGUUCUGUAAUUUAUUGCUAACUUGCUUAUUUGGCCUUGGGUGACGACGGAACGGAACAUGUGCGUUGCAUGCAGCCGUACUUCCCGGUGCCGGAGUCGGAGGCGGGCGCGGCGACGCAGUACGUGAUGCGGCGGGUGGCGCCGCGGCGGGUGUGGCCGCCGAUCGCGUUCGGGGCGUCCAUGGCGUGCUGGUACGAGCACGUGAGCCGCACCAUCUGCCUCACCAUCUGCCGGCACCACCGCGUCUGGGACAGACUCUUCAGGAUCCUCACCAGGAACAGGUCCGUUCUUCUUCUUCUGUUCUCCUUUUUUUUUUUUCCCAUCUUCCUACUAUUCCUAGUAACCGGUAGGCUAGUCUACCACCUGCUGGUGCUCUGCUCCUGUGUGUGCCUGGCUGCUCUGUGCUCUCGUCUGGCCCCCGUGGGGACAGGGCUGACUCACUCGCUGACCCGCGCCCACGGCGCCAAGUACAUGAAUGCCACACAAUCGGAAACGGCCACUAAGGAAUGGAUUUUCUUUUGUUCUUAGGAAAAAAAACAAAUACAUUUUCUUUCGAACAAAAAAAGGAAAAGCACGUUGGCCGCAUUGAAUCGGACUUAGCAUGGUAGAUGGUGGCCACAGCUGGCCGUGGCGUAUUCUACACUCGCAGUACUCGUUCCUGUACCCAGGCCUGCACUGCACGCCUUUCCUCUUCCUCAUUUCCUCUGCCAGUACAGCAGCAACGAAAUGGCACACUGAAUUCCUCCGAGUUUAAGGAGUUUUAGAGUGAUUACAACUAGAUUACCAGUUCAUCCACAAAAGUGAGCGUCCUUUCUUUUCCUGAUGGGAAACGCGCGCGAUAUCUCCAAAAGAGACAGCGGUUUCAGCAACAUUUGGAGGCUUGCAUUGGAGCCAUGCCAUGCCAUCGACCUAUGAUUAUUUAUUGUUGCUCCCGAUCGCUUUCAGCCCCCAUUAAAUGGCGGCCACCGCGCCUGAAAAUGCCGUUCGCCGGCGGCCGGCGCAGACGAGACGGCGCGUCGUGCGUCCCUCGCGCAGGCUAACCUGAUCGCCAAACACGGCGGCAUUCAAUCCAAAUUCGCACCGUAACCAUCCACCGUCCUACUAAUCCUAGGAACACGCCUAGGAAGCUUGGAAUAGCAGCAGCUACCGUGCAUGAGCGACAACCUUUCUUAUAGUCUUAUAUGUGAUGCAUAAUUGUGCCAAGUUUAAGUCCAUUUAACCCCGGCCGCCGGGAUUUAUGUGAUGCUAUAUCAUGUCAUGCGGCCUGACCCAGAGAGGCAGAGACAGCCCAGCACGGCGGCGACGGCGACCCCCGGCCUAGAUCGGCGGCGCCGGCCACAUGGUCCCCCGCCUUAACCCCCCUCCACAUCACGGUCACGCCCCGCAAUUAUUCGGCGCACCCGGCCGGGCCGGCCCUCAAAAAUCUGUGUCAUCCGCGGGGGAGAUGACAGGGUUUCCCUGGGCAUCCCCGCUUGGGGUUGGGGUUGCCGUUUCCGGGAUAGAUUCGGCGGCCGGCGUGGUCACGACACGGGGUGCUGCUGCGCUAGUGUCCUGCUACGGUGGUCUAGCAGGUUGGUCAGGGUACCGUGCACUUGCCUUCGUUUGUGGUAGCUGGGCUCACCCAGUACCCACCCACCCCACGUAUCUUUCUUGAGGGCAAAGGCUUCGUCUCCGUCUUUUCAAGCGAGCACGGUCAAGGAUGGGGGAGAAACGGUAGCCGGUAGGAGAAGGAGAGUACACUGGUACGGGCAGGGGGAGAUCAGUGGGGGCCUAGCAACAACCUGCGGAGGCUGUCAGUGCCUGCUUGUCCUUUACGGCCAGUAAACAAACCCUGACGCUCUGUUCUGCUCGCACAGUUGCAGGCAGAAGGUUCAAUUCCCUGCAGGGUAGGGCAGUGCAAUCGCAACUUGCAAGUGUGCAGCACUGCAAAUCUGCAAUGCAAGUGUGUGUUCUGUGGGUCCGUCUCCAUCCACAUUGCAGUGACUGAGAUCUGGUAGUUAAGUUGGUUCGGAGUUGCAAGAUUGUUUUUUUAUUUUUUUGUUUUGUUUUGCUUUACUACCGGCAUGAGAUUGUGCAAGUACACGCGCACGCAUGGCCCACUCCAGGCUGCGUUCGGAGCUGCACUGGCAACUCGAGUUUAUGGUGCGAGUCAUGGCCGCCGCCGUGGGCCACACCAGGCCGCAAUUCGUAACCAUGUGAUGAUCUGAUCAUAACAUGCAGGGUGCGGACGUUCCUGAUCGAGGCGUUCAUGUGCCACACCCACAACGCGGCGUGGCACACCCUCCACAACAUCAUCUGCGGCAGCGCCGCCCGGAUGGACGCCUACCUCGACGUCCUCUCGUCGGAGCUCUCCUGCAAGGUGUCCAUCUUCCACGGCCGCGACGACGAGCUGCUCCCCGUCGAGUGCACGCUGGCCGUCGGCGCCCGGGUGCCCCGCGCCCGCGUCACCGUCUACGACCGCAAGGACCACAUCACCAUCAUCGUCGGGCAGGAGGAGCUCUUCGCCGCCGAGCUCGAGGCCAUCUGGAGGAGCGCCGCCGCCGAGUAGCUAAAGCUAAAGCUAAAGCUAGCUAGCUUGCAGUUGCAGUCACCCUGUGCUUCCUGCUUCUUGGACAUGUAUCGUCGUCGUUUACAUACAGCUGGUUAUCAUCUGGUAUACUGAUCCGUCGUCGUCCGACAACAAUGCACAGAAACGGGAGACGAAGAUCGAGCGAGGUCGAUUAAUGGCCUGUAAAGAACAAAGAUGCAAUAACGUCAAUGUUUUACCCUUGCAAAUUCUGCAAUGCCAUGAGAUCACGCAGCAAGAAAAAGGAAGAAACUUUGUAUGAUAGGAUGAGCGAUUGUACGGUACCCUGCUGCAGAGUUUUAUAUACAAAAAAGUAGUAGCUGUUUUAAUUUCUUUUCUUUUCUGGUGGUAUACAAAGUGUCCUGGAUUAUAAUACGAGUCUGUAUUGAUUGUUUGAUUGGACCAACAAGUUGGUUGGCGACUUGGCGUUCAGCUAGCUAGCUUUUGUCACCAACUCAACACCAUCAAUUUGUAAACGUCAAGGCGGAAUUGAUUAAGCUGCAGAAGUUGGUUUUCGAAACAGACUCGUGUUCGUACUGCUCUACUGCCACACGUACCUGUCUGUUGUGAGCUGUGACAUGAUAGACAGCCACGAUUUCCUCCGUCGGGCCUCCUCCUCCUAUGGAUUCAUCCGCCGUUCGCAUAUUUCGGCCUUUAAAGGAGGCGAAAGGGACUGAUUCCAUCUCACCAAUGUGGCAACCGAUUCUCUACUUGUCUCGCCAUAAUUUUCCCGGUGAUUAUGUGUCCGCAUUGUUGUGCUCAAUUGUUAAGACUUCAGAGUUCAGAAUAGUCUCCAUCUUCACGUCUGCAGACCUAGUUUUACUCCAUCAUUCCCCUGCAUCCUCGCAUCGAGACCUUGGUCAUCUUGUACUCUUGUUCAGAAAAUUCAGCACGAAAUUGGGAGGAUGGUUGCAGCACUUCGGUGUCUUCAGUCCAAUAUAAACACGGAAAUAAGCCAUGUAUACAGCUCAACGACGUUCACUUGAAGCCCAGUUCAUUUAAAUAAUGAAGCCCAAUCUAUGGCACGUCUAAAAAAUGUCUCUAUAUGGGCCACAUUGGUCUGAAAGGUCCCUUUGGGCCCUUUUAAAGGCCCAUCCACAUUGUACGAGUCGGCAUUGUCCUUGGGCUAUGAUCCGGGACGCAGCCUAAUGUUUAGGCGCUUUGGCUCAAAAAAGACAAAGAAAGAAAACAGCAGGGGCGGCGACAACGAUGCGGACGCGAGGUCGCUAGACCGCGAGUACUUGAGGUGGAGCUGUGGAUGCUGCACGGCAAGUCUAGUUGUCAACGGAUUGGGCCAAGGAUUGUGGGCCAAAACUACUAUGGUUCCUAGGCCAUAAUAGGGCCACGGUUUUUAUGGCUUCUUAUUGGCUGCAGCUGCUUGGGCUUUUGUGUGACUCUCCGACAAUCAGAACAGUUUAUUUUACCUCUCCGACUCAUCCUCUCUCUCUCUCUCUCUCAAAAAACCCCUCUCCGACUCAAAUCCAUACGGGUUUUGUGUUAAGGAAAAAACGUGCCUGUACCAAAAAUCUUAAUAUGAAACAACAAUGAAUAAUAUUGAGUACCAAAAAUCUUAAUAUGAAACAAUCUGAAUAGCGUAAUACCCACAUUUUAUGUAUUGUUUGGAUUGAAUUUUUUUUGGAGGGGUCCCUGCCUCACUUUAUAAUUGCUGGGGGUAGGGUUACAGGUCGGUUAAUUACAAAAAUACUAGUCGGAUUCAACUAAAUGAGUUAUACUCUUAUUACCAUCCUGCGCCAUAGUUUCCAUAUCAGAUACGUCUCAGUGUAUAGUCCCAUAUUUAGGAUUGUCCAAACCUUCUGGUAGACCCAUAGAUAUAUGUACAACACUCUCCAAAUCCAGAAAGAUGAUAGGUGCACCUACCAUUUGCAUUCUGAAGCAUUUCGAUGUAAUAUAAUUCUAGAAAAAUUAUAUUGAAUACUAGGACUACAUAUUAUUGCACACUCUCUGCAAUUUGGAAGUGGCUACUCCAUGACACAUCCGCUAUGACUGUGGAAGGGAAUAGAGGAGAGACAGAUGAUGGCAGGCGACCAGGAACCAUCCAUCAUAGAUGAAAUUGAUGAUGGCAAGGCAGAGAAGAUGGUGGAAGCACAAGACCUUUUUAGUUGUAAUCAUCCGCUUCACUCCCGCUAUAUAUGAUUGAUGGGGAAUGUUAGAGAUAACAGACUUGUAAACAAACUCUACCCCAAGGGUAGUUGCAAUAGACAACAGAUUAUUAGGGUUUAACCAUAUUCAAUCUAGCUAAACACAAUUGGCAAGGCAGUAAGCAGUGUUGUUUUUCCCAUAAAGAUGAGACAAUUAGACACCUAUUUUUCGACUGUCACUCCUCGUAGAGUCGCAAAUAUGUUUGGAAUGUGGCUAGGAGGAUUAGUAAUGAUCUAAAGCCAUUUGUUUUACUUGGGGCUGCGGCUUUUUGUUGGUCCUUGUAGUUAUGCAGGGAUGAUUUGGUUUUUGAAAAGAGAACUGUUGCUACUCCUUUACAGGUUAGCUAUUCGAUUAUUCACUAGCUCCGUACAUGGGCUAUCCUACGGAAGGCAACCUCACAGGAUUUGGUUAUAGCGGCGUGUUAACGUUUGGCGCAGCUGGUCAAGAAGUUUUUUACCCAGGCACAUGGGUGGCAGUCUAAUCUGAGGAUUACGAGUCACUAGUGUAUUUUUUCUUUGAAAUAUCUUGUAAGACUGUGUGCAUCUUAACUGUGCAGAGGUCGGGAGGAUCUCAAGAUUUUUUGAUUUUUGUAUUACCUUGAUGUAACGAUCUUGAUUUUAAUAAAACUUCUCUUAUCAGAAAAAACUUAGCAAAAUAGAAAAACAUAACCAAGGGAUUAGUUUUUUAGAAUCUUCAUUCAAUGAAUCUGAUCGAAGUUGUCACCAUAUAUACAUUGAUGACAAGCUGUGGAUGAUGCACAUUUUUAUAUCAGUAUCGCAUUGCAACCAAAUAUUUUCAGCUAAUAUGAAGCAACUAAUGUUAUAGAACCAAAUUAUAUCUUCAGCUAAUAUCAGUGUGUUUUUUCUUUCUUUCCCCUCUCGGCCUUCUAGAGGUCGAUCGUCAAGGAAGCAGGUGGUCGUCUGCAGGAUUCUGAGGCGGUAGACGGGAGAAAAGGACACGGCAGCCGCCGAUAAGGCUCGUCGUCGCCGCCGGUUCGUUUCGUUAUCUUUCCAGACCUCCGGCGUCGCUUUCCUCCUCCACGAAACAGACCUCCCAGCUCCGUCCGUCCCAUCGUCGACGGGUUGGUUUCCCUUUCGUCCCCAAAAGGCGCUGCGUCACUCGCCUCUCUCUCCUAUUCCAUCUGCAUCUUAAAUUUAGACUUCAGUUAGGUUGGUGCAGAGACAAGACUGGCCACCGUCGUUGGCGUUACUCCCUGCACGUACACCAAGCAUCCUACGUAUCCAUGUACCACAAGCUGCAAGCAGCUGGAAUGUGCUUCAGAUCAUGCUGUUGCACUCGUCGUCUUCGAAGCUGCAGUAACAUGUAGUGUGUAUCAUCGUUUCAGGGCACUGAAGGUGAUCUUGGGGUGUGCGAUGCGCUGAACGACAAAGCAAGCGUUGAACCGUCAGGAUCCGAGCCCAGUAAAAACCCUCUUUGCCUUGACUUGAGAUGUGGGCCGGAAACCGGUGUUAGACUUAGUUCGAUACAGUAGCCCAAACCAGAAUUAGGUGGACAAGAUGGCCUACAAUAGGUAGCUUAGUAGUAGUGUAGUACAAGUGAUUGAUCCAUACCAUGAUGGAGUUCUUCCUAGUAUGAAGAAAAUAGACCUGAAAUUGUACAUCACCUCUAUAAGUCAAUUGCGCUCUUAUCAUCUCCAACCAAUCCAUGAUACAGUAUUUCACAUGCAUUUUUUGUGUCCUUGACUGCAGCAGGAGAGAAAUAGAAAAGCAUCGUCCUCUCAUCAAUCAUGAGGCUGCUGGCCCUGGCCAGAGUGUGUAAUCGUCAACAACACACUUGGUGCCGGCGAACUACCGAUCGAUCGAUUGGCCCUCUUGGUUCCGCCAACAAUAAUGCAAGUACGUUUUUCACGUGAGAUCGAUCGACCGAUCGGUUAGUUUAGAACAUAAUUCAUUGUCACUUUUGGUAGUCGAAACCGAUCAUCGGUGCCCUCGUCGCUUUCGAAUCUAACGUGCUACAUGCAACAAUGUACACAUCAUCAUGUAUACUGUUGCGUACACCAGAGGUCAAUUACGAGGUUGUUUUCUUUUUGGCUUAUUCUUGGCUCUUUCUCCUUUGGUCUUUAGCAUACAUACUGUAGACAUUAUCCAUGGAGUUUGUAGAUUAUUCUCUCAAGGAGUGAUUAUUCAAAGUGCCUUUCUUCAUAAAAAUCAUUUUUUUUUUGAGAAACAGAAGGAGCACUGCACAUUCAUGUAAGGUGGAAGCAAGCAAGAAUUACAUAGUAGGUUCAAAUGUUCUAUUACAUAAAGGAAGAGCUGCACAUGUACACAUAAACAAAGAGAAGUGCAUACACAUGAUAAACUAGAAAGGUUCAUCAGGCCUUCCACAGGCCACAACUCGCUGCAAGAUAUCAUCCUUGACCAAGCCAAAUACCUGAACCGGUUGAAGGUUUUUUUGUGCUUAAAGAUACACCUGUUGCGUUCAUUCCAGAUAUUCCAUGCCGUGAUCAUCAAAAUUCCGGCCACUGAUCUUUGCUUCUUCAAGGAAUGAAUGAGGCUCCAGUGCCGUCUCCACCAGAGCUGGAUGUCUUGCCUCCUCGUGUGUGCAUUGGUGUCUGAAAUAGCUCGGUCAUAAAUCAAGAGCAGCGGCAUUGCCAUCAAAUUAGUGAAUGAGUAGUCAUGCCUUUGCCCUAUUGUUUUACUUUGUUCUUUUCAUGUAACCAAUUUUCAUGCCCGGCAAAUUUCUUGCUGGUUUCUUUUUUUUAAAAAAAAAUCCAAGACAUUUGACACCACCAGUACUAAAAACUUGUUUUAGUAGAGUAGGUAUUAUCUUGAAACCUGAGAUGGCGAUAUACGUGCAUAUAAAUAGCCAAGACAUUUGACACCACCAGUAGUAAUUAACCAGCUGGUUUUCUUACCUUGCAUCAUUUUGGUAGGUACAUGUCACUCUUUUACCUACGCUUUUGAAUACUCUAGUACAUGCACGGCAAAGACUUUGGUUUAUUUGCCAAUUGCCAUCAACCCCUUGGUGAAUUGGUCGUCACUGUCCAGUAUCAGUAUCCAUCUACCGCCACCAUGCAUGGUCGCCGCUGUCACCAAAUUCUCCCAUGCACGCACAUAUACCGUGGAGUAACUUUUUUUCUGACCGCAGCACAAAACUUUUACUUCUCCAUCAGACCGACGCACAUACACAUUCUAUACGUGCAUGGGUGCGUGGCACAUGUGGCAGUCCCUUGUAUAAAAUUGUCGUUAGCUAUCAUAGAGCAGUAACAAAAAAGCCAAAUUAAAGGUAUGGAGAAGAAACAAAACCCCAGAUCGCGAGAGAUUUUAACGCCACGGAUUGACCGCGACAAGGCGAUAAAAGUACUCGUCCAUGUGGCACGAGGCUGCCGUCGAAGCACCUGCAACAACAUUUCCAACACCAUGAGCUAGCACAGCCGCCUAAAGAAACGCACUGCGAGCUAGCUUGGUGGCCAUCCUUCACAUCUCCUUUUCGCCCUGGAUGGCUCGCUCCAGAUUGAAAUCUCUAUAAAACAGCUGGAGGGGCCAAAGGAACUUGCCUUUUUCCCAACUAUUUUCCCCUUGUCACGACACGAGAGACAACGAUCUCCAUCCAGAUAACACUGUAAAAAUUAAAGAAUUCUUGCUUGUAAUAAAAUUUAAAAAAAUGAUGACGAUCGCACUGUUAUAACAAAAUGCAGCACGCCAACAACACGAGGCCGGUAGCACUAGAAAGGAACUGACGUCACACCUCACUCCAUUAGAAAAAUCAAAAGCGGUUUUAAUUAUAAUAGUAAUUGUUGAGAAAUCGGUACCCCGAACUUGACACCAACUUCCUAGAAAUGGCACCAAAGUAGUGUAUUACCACGUCUUGUGUAGACUCUUACCCACACUACUUUGAGAAGACCUUCGCACUGACACUAUUCUAACAUGACACCACUACACUACAUGGCUACCUUGCAAUCUCCUACUUGAGACCUCUUAUGUCAUGUUAUGGCUAGGAGGGAGGGGAGCGUCUCUAUUUAUAGGUGCUUAUGGUCCUUGUGGUGUUGCCAUGAGGCAACUUCCACACUCUUCUUUACAAAUAUCUAACUCUAGAACUUUCUCUCAUCCUUAUCCUACCAUAUAAGUAUCUUGUUCUAGAGUAUUCAUAAGUUGCCAUGAAGCAUGUCAACUCUAAACUCUUGACAUUUCCAAAGUCUUCUAUAACCUUCAUACUUUGCCAUGAUCUUAUCCUUAUGCAUGUCAAAGUCUCGUGAUUUUCAAAACCUUCUAGAAUGUUCCAAGUAUGCAUUGUACAUUUCAACACUUCCCUCAAUGCAUACUUGUCUCCGGUGUUCGAACUAUUGCAUGUCACUGCCCUUGGAUCUUCUAUGCUCUACCAUUACGAACCUUUUUCUACACUUACCCUCGUGAUUUGGUCUUCUCUUCUUUCAAUUAGUCCUCUGUCUUUAGCUGGAGGUUUUCUGCAGUCUUAUGUUUCUAUUCAGUUCUUCUUUCUUCUUUACUCUCCUACUUGUCCGUCCUCUAGGUGCUUCCUUGUACAAAGACAAAAUCACAACAGGUGAAGCAUUGGCAUACCUGUGAUCUUCACAUCUACAUCCUUCUGGAAGCUUCUUCACCACAUCUCUUGUCUUCAAAUCCUCAUAGAUCACCAAUGCUCCAUCUUCAUCUUUGCCAUGCUCUUGUGGCUCCCCAUCAUCAUGAAGACUAGGCUCUAUCUUCUCAUCUUUAAUAUCUUCUUUCUCAUCGCUUAGAGCAUCCCAAUCUUCAUCAAUAUCAUAUCCAAAUAAUACGAAUCCUUCAGAAGUAUCUGGAUCUCUCACCUCCAUGGAGAAGCCACCUUCUGCAUCCUACUCUUCUUCUUCUUCAAUGCUAGUUGAUGGAGUUUCACCUUCUGCCAAGUCUUCCACGAAGUAAGCUCCAUCAUCUUCAAUUGUGGUAGCUGCCUUAGCAUCCCACACUUCUUCACUUGGGUACGUACUCAAGACUACUUCUUUUGCUGUAGCCACGUUUCGUUCUGAUGCCUCCGUGGACUCCGGUAGUCUCGUGCCAGAUGUCCCUUCUUGCCAUAGUUGAAGCACUCACUUCUUUUUCUCCUCUCGCUCUUGACUCACUCUUGGUCAUCUUCAUUGCCGCUCUCUUGUUGAGCUCCCCUUGAAUAGCUGCUCUUCUUUGGGCAAUGGCUAUCACCUCUUGUCCACUCCUUCGCCUCUCCUUGGCCUCUCAGUGGACCCUUCUUCCUGAUGAAGAGUGCCUCCUCUUCAUCCUUCUCCUCCAAAGUGAUGUUGCCCAUCUUCUUGGCUAAUGCCUCCUGAUUAGACAAUAAGUUCUCCAGUUCCACCAAGGACAGUUGUACUGGCCAUCCACUCACUGCAGCUAUAAACCCACUAUACUCGGGUCUUAGGCCGUUGAUGAUGAUCCUUCUUAUCCGAGCUUCGUUGACCUUCUCCUUCGGGUCAAGCUGAGAUAUCUCCCAGCAGAUAUUCUUCACCUUAGUAAAGUUCUUGUUAAUGCUUAGAGUUCCUUGUGAGAUACCUGCAAGCUCUUUCUCUAGGAGCUGGAAUCGUGCCUCAUUUUUCUUCGAGAAUAGCUUCGCCAAUGUCUCCCAGGCCUCAUUUGGUGUCUCCGCGUCUCUGAUGUGCUCCACCAGAUCUUCCUCGAUCGUAAUCUUCAACACAAACAUAGCCUUGCCUGCCUUGACUCACCACUUCUGCAAGGUUUCUGCGUUCUCCUUCGGUGGAGGAGUUUUCUCGGUGCCUGCUACGACCUCCCAUAGGUCCUGACCCAUCAAAUAGGACUCUAUACAGAUCUGCCAAUAGCCAUAGUUGUGGCUAUUGAGCUUCCUCAUGCCUCCUGUGCUUAAGAGAUUCGCCAUCUCAAUUGACACCCAGCAUCACCUACGCUUGGUCCCGGACAAGCAUUCCUUCACAGUCUCGGACUGUGAUCUCCGGCAGAGUCUUCCCUUAGCGCCUCUUGGUGCCACAUCGAGCAAUGUAAGUGCUCAACAACUGCACCGACCACUAUGAGUACCCCGCACUCACCACAAAACUCCUCCCAAUGACGGUCCGAACUUGACACCGACUUUCUAGAAGUGGCACCAAAGUAGUGUGCUACCACUUCUUUUGUAGAUCCUUACCCACACUACUUCGAAGACCUUCGCACUGACACUAAUGCGGGAGACCAACUCUCUACAAGGAAACUCAAAUUUUUAUUCAGUACUAAAUUUGAUACAAGACUCACUUGCACGCUUUUUGUGUGGCUAUCCUACAAUGACACCACUAUAUUACAUGGCUACCUUGCAAUCUCCUACUUGAGACCUCUUAUGCCAUGAUAUGGCUAGGAGGGAGGGAGCACCUCUAUUUAUUGGUGCUCAUGAUCCUUAUGGUGCUGCCAUGUGCCAACUUCCACACUCUUCUUUACAAAUAUCUAACUCUAGAAUUUUCUCUCAUCCUUAUCCUACCAUAUAAGUAUCUUGUUCUAGAGUAUUCAUAAGUUGCCAUGAAGCAUGUCAACUCUAAACUCUUGACAUCUCCAAAGUCUUCUAUAACCUUUAUACUUUGUCAUGAUCUUAUCCUUAUGCAUGUCAAAGUCUCUUGUGAUUUUCAAAACCUUUUAGAAUGUUCCAAGUAUGCAUUGCAUAUUUCAACAGUAGUAAUUAAGUUAUUGGUACAAAUGAUUAUAGAUAAUAAUACAUGUGUUUCUUCCUAGCUACCACUAUGUCCUUUCGAUGAUGUCUUUUCUUUUAAUCCUGGGUUUAAUUUUCUAUGAUCUCUUACAGAUCACCAUGCACACCUCGAGCUCGAUCACUUGGGCACACGACGACAUCAGCAACGGCUCUGUCUGUCACCCUAGGGAUUAUUCACGGACGUGUACACACGUGCGUGCGAGCGUGCAAUACGGCCGGCGGCCAUGCACGCAUGUAGAAGAUGAUGGAGUUAGUGCGGCGGCGGCGCAUGCAUGUGAAGCAACUACACGUUGUCCAUCGUCAAGUCCGCGUGCAACGACGACACCGACCGCGCGAGGCUCCACAGGUCGCCGUCGCCGACGCCGACGGUGGUCGCGUGCACGGAGGAGGAGAAGGCCGCGGCGGCGGCGCUGCCGGGCUCGUCGAAGAAGGAGACCAUGGUCUUGGACGCGUCGGAGAGACCGUUGAGUUCGUACGCGGCCAGCCGGUCCAGCGCGUCCCAGUCGGCGAUCCCCGACGCGUCAGCGGCGCCGCCGUAGUCGCCCGGCGGGCUCUGGAGUAGGCCGCCGGCGUGCUCGAGGGGCGGGAGCUUCAUGAACUUCCCGUAGAGACCGCCGCCGGUGCACGCCGUCGCCGUAGUUGUCGUCGCCAGGUGGUGGUGGUGGUGGUGAUCCAGCAGCGCAGGCUUGGUGUCGUGGUGCUUGGUGUUGCUGCCGCAGGGCCUGCCGCCGAUGUACUGGAGGAUGUGGUCGAGCGCGUCGUCGCUGGCCGAGUGGAGCAGCUGCGCCUUGGCGUGGUCGCUCACCGUCACCGACGAGCAGUUGCUGGGGCUGCCCUCCAUGGGCGCCGCCAUCUUGGACGAGGCCGCCCCCGUGUGGCCUGUCACCGAUGCGGUGGCGCCGCCGCCGCUGCUCUGGCCGUGGUGCAGGAGGUUCUUCUUCUUGAACACCCUGCAGAUCACCCACCCCUCCUGCUCCUGCGCCGCCGCUUGGUCCCCCGCCGCGCCGCGGAUCUGCACGUACGUUCAUCAGCAAACAUGUGUGAGAGGCUAUUAAUCUAGAAGGUGUGCCAUGAUGCAUGGUAAAUUUUUCCUUGUAGGGUUAAAGGUGAAUUCCGAAGCAUCCAAAGCUGGUCACUGCAUCCCCAUUUCUGCCAAAAGGGAGGAGCUGCUCCCACUGGUACCAGACCACCUAAGCGGCCUAGAAUCACAUGCAAAGAUUUGCCAUGAUCAGAGAGCCAGCUCAAAAGCCACCCCUCACUCAGUUGACCCCGGAAAAGCUACGGAUGAAACAGAGACUACCUCGUUUGUCCUACGCCCUUGUCGACGCGUGCACGAGUCCACUGCCCACUGCCCCGUACGUACGUCCUCACUGGCCACUGGACCAUGCACUACUACCAUGUCAGUGAGUCUCUGCUAGCUACUCCUGCACUACACAUGAUUGGCGGUAGCAGUUUGUACUUGCUCGGUUUGUUAGAGCAGCUACAGCAUUCUAUUUCUGUGCGUGUCCCGGGGUUGUGAUGAGGGUAUGGUACGGCUACGGCGGCCGUGUUCGGUUGGCUCGCCGGCAGGCCGCGUGGCUGUGAUCUUGCUGGUGGCGCGGGGAUUCUGUGGCCGGGCCGGCCGGGCAGCCUCGACCCAAAGACGCCCGGCGCCCAACCACCCCCAGGGCCAAGGCACUGAACCUACCCACCACAACACCUUCGUCGUCGUCCCUGCUCUGCUUUGGUGACAGCGAGUGGGUGAAAGCGCCACCCCCACUCGCGGAAGCAGGCAUGCCCCAGUUCCAACAACCAAUGAGGUCGCCAGCCAUGGAUGGGUCGAGACGAAGCCUGCCGGCCCCGCCACCUAGCUAAUCAAAUGAUUCAAUCACCUACGACGACGUGUACGAGAAGAUAACAGUCUUCGUCGUCGUCGUCGUCAGCUGAACAGCUGCAUGCAGGUACGUACAUGCAGGUACGUACGUACGUACGACGUAGGUAGGAAUAGAUUGUGCUCUGUAUACUGUAUUAUGUACGUACUGCGGCAGGCGACGGCGAGGAGUAGUAGGGGUCGCCGGCGGCGGCGGCGGCGGCGGCGGCGGAAGGGUUGUGGGCUUCGUCGAGGCGGUACUCGUGCAUGAUCCAGUCGGACUUCUGGCCGUGCGGGGCGCGGCCCUUGUAGAAGACGAGCGUCUUGCGCAUGCCGAUGCGGCGGGCGGAGGUGUAGAUGGCCUUGUCGCGGCCGGUGGCCUUCCAGAACCCCGCCGCCGUGGCGCGGUUCGUGCGCGUCCCCGUCGGGUACUUCUUGUCCUUGUGGCUGAAGAAGUACCAGUCGUUCUGGGGGCCCGACCCGAUGCGGCACUUCUCUGCAAAUUUACACCGGCCAUGUCGGUCAGUAAGAUUCAGUUCGGAGCUAGGUGGCAUUGCUCAUCGAUCAGUCAUCACUAGUAGGAAGAAGAAGAAGAAUGCUCCUCGCACCUUGGAUGUCCCAUGGCUCGAGCUUGUUGAGGUCGACGUCGCGGAUGACGUCGAGGUCGAUGCGCUCCGAGGCCACCUUCUUCUUGAGGUAGUAGGUGAGGAGCUCCUCCUCCGUGGGGUGGAACCGGAACCCCGGCGGCACCACCGACUGUCCGUUCACCGAGAUGCUCAUGAUCGAUCACUUGCUAUUGCUAGACUAGCAAGAACAAGGAAGAAGAAGGGUGCGGCAGUAUGUAGUGGUGUAUCAGCUGAUCAUGUACAAUUCUUCAGACGUCGACCACCAUUGAGAAGCUAGGCAAAGGGAAUUGAGGCCGGCCGGUGAUGGGGUACAAGGAAGCAAGCUACAAUGGAGGGUGGUUAUAUAUAGCUCCUGACACCGGCUAGUGGGAUUAGUUUCACCAGGCUAUAGGGAAGUGCCACCAACCAUGAGAGAGAGAGCAACCAAAGCUGUGGACCCCAGCCGGGCCUGGGGAUCGGAGGAAGAAGCAGCAGCAGCGGAAGAGGAGGAGGAGGAGAGGGGAAAGGCGAGCGGCCGCCAUCGGCAGCCGUGACGCACGACCUUAAAAAUCUCUGGGAAAAGCACGGCCGGCCAGGCGUGCGAAACCUUCCUUGGCGUCACGCCGGGUCGCCGGGGUAAAAUCGAAAUCGGAGUGGCAUGUCGGGCAUGGCCAGCAUAACCACCACCGCGGCAGCAACAUAACCACCACUGCUGCUGCAGCAACUACAACAAUAACAGCAACGGCAACAGCAACGGAAAACGAUAUGCGACGCUGUGCAAGCUCUUUUCAUUUCUUUUUUUUUUCCAGAUGGCCUGCUCAGGAUGUUCCAAGUAAGGUUGGUUUUGUAGUAGUGACGAGUGAAUGAUGAAUGAUGAAAUAUUAAAACGGGUUUUGGUUGCACUUGUUGCUGGUGGCAAAGGGGAAAAAAAGGCAACAAGGUUAUUAAGAUUUUUAAACUAGUUUUGGUUGCACUUGAUGGACAAAAAAGAUUGUAACCAGUACUAUGCUAGUAUUAGAGAAGCCAGCGAGCAAAUUAAAGCUAAUAGCUUUUUGACUUGUUCAGGAAAACGAUAAACAAAUGACCUCGCGAGCAUGCUUUUUCUAAAAAAAAAAUGUUAUUGUUGCAGUUCAGUUGUAGUGCGCAAUAGCACUUAAUCUUUUUUUUUUUGUAAAUUCGUCUCCCUCUCAUUUUUCCUUGAUGAGCAAAGAGAGCACAAGGGGGAUGGAUGGAGACUGCAGCCAGCAAUCAACAACAGAAAUAAUUAUCUUUGACAGUAAUUGCCCAUAUUAGUCAUCACAUGAGAACAACAGGUGCUGACUUUUACUUUCAAUUAUUAUCUAGUUAAUAAACACUAAUUAAUGGUAAUGAAAGAACACAGAGACAUAUUAUAUAUCCUUGCACACUCACUUUUCAUGCAUAGUUUUUAUUUGUUAUAUAGGUUGUUGGUUUAUUGCUUUGUGGAAAAUGGGAAUGAGGUACUUGAGAUAAUUGGAACACAUGUGCUAAUUUAGACUUCAAUUAGCUAGAGAGGCUAGCUGUUUAAUGAUGGAUUGAAUCCUCAUUGCAAUGCUGCUUCCAUGCUGACCUGUGUUAUGCAUGUCAAGAUAUAUAAUAUCUCAGAACUAACACCAUUAAUCUAUAGAUGAAAAAGAUGGGCUGAGCAAUUUCUUUGACAAAUUGGUCUGGUUGCCCGUACUUGCAUUUAUAUUUCUUAGAUAUGACCAGUACUUAGAUUGUUUUUCUUAAAUAGAAUGCACCAUAUUGAAAGUGUCUUGUGUGUCAACGAUUAAUAGAUGCCCUCACAUGAUGUAUGGUACUACUCAAUUUCUUCUAUUAUCAAAAGUGGAUGGUUGUUGGAAUUGCACUAGAAAAUUUUAAGUGGCUUGUUAUCCUACCGAUACCCUUGGAAUUGUUAUCCUUGUAUUCACCCCUUAUAACCAUAAGAUCAAGGGUUCAUGUGCUACUAAAGGCUCCUUAUAAUCGUCGGAUCGAACAGCGGUAGCCAGCGAUGGGUCAUUUGCUAUAGAUUGUCCUCCCUAUGAUAUUUGUUUGGUUUCGUCUCUAACCAAAGCUUGCAGCAUUCUUUGAGGACAGCAAGGUAUUGUUGAAACAUGGAAGAUCCCAGUUAACAAUUUAUAUAGUCAUUGGGGUCAAUUAACCCCUAUGAAUUUUGCUAAUCCUACUAUAAUUCCACUAAGGGAAUAGAAAUUCUCUCUUUCAAAUAUAUUAGAUUUCAACAUGUAUACCCUAAUGGCACCAACAAAAUAAACUUCUACCUUUGCCCCUGGUUAGGUUGGAAACUUUUUCUCUAAUUCGGAUUGUUUCUCAUGAGAAGGUAAAAGUGGAGCUAAGAACCAGAGGAUGAACGAGGAUUUAUCUUUUUGAAAAUUUUAAGGUCAGAUGUGGAGCAUUUAUUUUGGGCUCAAAACCUUCUGAUGUCGGGUUCCAAAGUUUUUUUUGCUAGUUCGGGUUAGAAGUUCCUGAUGAGAGGGCCAGGGUGGAGCUUUGGAAUGGAGGUGUAUGUGUGCGUGGUAGUGCUCCGUGUUCCCAGUCGUGAAACCUAGCUAGGUUCCCGUCUCUUGAGGAUCGGAUACCGACCUCGAUGUGGCCUUGUUGAGUGCCGAACAGAACACACACACACACCCGAGCCGCACCCAUGCAUGCUAUGCAUGUACGUCUCCGCAUCACCUACAUGCUGACAAGCGACUGCAACGACCCAUCGAUGGAUGCCCGCUUCCGGCACCACCACCCGACCGGCCGGGCCCGCCUGCCAGCGAGCGCGCGUCGCCGUCCCGCGCCCGUGCACGCCCACGCCCGCCCGCCUCCUCCUCCUGCUCCUCCUCCGACGAUCCCUCCCCGUCGCUUUCGCCUUUCGUGCGCCAUAUCUCCGGGCCGUAGCUUUCCGCGGAGAUCGCGCAGAUCAAACAGUUGCCGGCCGCGCGCGCGCGCUCGCAAGUCGUCGCCGCCCGCAACCCAUCCAGCUGGCCCGCGUCGCGCGUCGGCAUGGCACCAUGGAUCCGACGAGUUGUUGCUACUAGCUGAGCUCGGCUUCCGCGAGAAGCUCCAUCGAUCGAGCUCUCCGCUGGUCUUCGCCGCGAUCUCCCUGUGCUCUCGCCCCGACGACGUGUUUGGAGACGGGUCGAUUUCGGGGCGGGCAUCGAUCGGUGUUAGCUCGCCGCCGCUUGUCUGAUCUGACUGCACCGUCGAUCGAUCCGUCACGAAACCACAUUAUAUUACCCUGCUGCUGCUGACCGCUAGGUCUUCAGAGCAGUACUACUGUACUGCUUCCUGUUCCAGUAAAGAAUGCUCUGCAUCUGGAGUGACCAAUUCGCUUCUUUGUUCGAUCCAGAGGAACGAACGAACAGUUCCCACAGCACAGUGUCUCAUGUCGUGGGUGACUUGGGGUCCAGCCACAGCCAGCCCAGCCCUAAUGCCCUAGCAGCAGCUGCUAGGUCGGUAGCUAGCUGGGCAGCUAGGACACUGCACUAUGAGCCAGAGCCCGUGUCGACCCGGCGACGGCCGCCGAUGUGGCCCGCCGCGGGCCUCACAGAAAAAAAAUGCAAGGAGGCCACCGGGUGGCGCCACCGAUGGACGGACGCGAUCGAUCGGUCCGUGAUGUGAAUCUCGAUCCAACGCCUCUUGACUGAGUUCACUACUGACGCGGACGGUAAACAAAAAAGCAUUCAGUCCCCGCAGAAGGCGAUGGGGAGCCAACGGUGAUGGACGCAUGUAAAAAUAGUUUACUUUUCAUUCAUCAGUUUGAUAAGUUUUUUUUUACUUUUUUAGAAAAAAAAGAAUUUGGACGUGUUGAUUGACAGUACGUGACUAGUGGUUGUGCGUGCGUGUUUUUUACUCCGAGCCAAUGGAUGAUGGAUCGUCAAUUAAUCUCGAGUGUUAAAAAAAGAGAGAGAAAAUGUCCAGAAGCUAGGCACAGGUGGACGUAAACGGGCGAUUACGGGGUAGAUGGGUAGGUUUUUACUAGGGUGGUAGUAGUAUAAUAUAAUCUACCUGUGGAGGAUUUGACGGGGCUAUGUUUUUUCCAGAAAGGUGAGGAUUCGACACAUGAUCGUCUCGGCUACCGGCCGGUGGAUUCGACCGGUUGACGCGCCCCUUUCUCGCAGUAUUUUACUCGGCGGUUACAUCCGUCCACUCACUCACCGGCUAACCUCUACCUGUAGUCGGCAUGUUGCCGUACGUAAACAGAUGGACGGACCGUUUGCAUCUGCAGCAGGAUGAGUGAGGCAUUUAUUUUGUUUUUAUAAUAACCCUGAUUGGUUGGAUACUUGAGAAUUAAACCAUAAGCUAGACUGUUUUCAAACAAGUAAGUGCUUGUUUUAGCAGCUUUGUAUUACCUUACACGUAUGAAAAAGAUCUUUUGCAUCAUGCAUUACCAUCGUCGGAACCUAGGAAUUUUGCCAAAAAAAAAUAAUAAUCAGAAAGCCGUGCGUGGACAGUGUCCCGUCAUGUCGAGAAGAGGAAAAGCAGCAGGGCACGAAACGAAAAAGAAAAUCAAAAGGCUUUGGUGUGAACCGUGUGCAAAUUGGCCAGAGAUUACAGCAGAGACAAACAGUCGGGUGAUGGGGAUCUCCGGUUACCGACGGUAGGGCCCCCAGCUCUUCCCCGGCUAGCUAGAUAGCUGGAUCCCAGACGCGAACGCGGCAUCCGAAAGUGAUGAGCGAGCGAGGCGAGCUGAGCUCGAUCGGCCAGGAUGGCACGUCGUCGACGGGUGGCACACCGCCUGCAAAGCCUGCUGGGCCCUGCGGAUUCUGCAUCCUGCACUCUGUGCUAGCGACCAAACAUGGGCUUUUUCGCCGUCACGGGAUGUCUGUCCCGGCCCCCAAGAAUAUUUCUCCAUCCGCCGUGUCCACCCGUACGCGAGACGAGCGAGCCAGCGCAUGCCACCCGUCGCCGGCCGGCGAUCGUGCGCCGUGACGACGGCGAAGAGCCGGUUCAUGAACCCGAGGAGAUCGACGAAAUCCCCCCGGCGCGCCCGCGCGCGGCCACGGCGAGCGCACGUCGCGCCGUGGCGACCGAUGAUGGCCUUCGUGUUCUAGACGCCGGUCGUGUUCUAAAUCGCAGUGGCAGCUCGUGAUGCCGUGGUUAGCUCAGUGCGCGCACCGUUAAAACUGACUUGUCACACAUGAACCAUGGUCCCUUUAGUUUUCCUUUGCCAGGAGAAGAGGGUGUUGUUGGGUUGGAUUAGUGGAGGAGGGCUUGUUCUAGAGCGUAAUUAUACGGGUUAUUUAGCGCGCUAAUCCCCUGCCUUUCCGGGCUCGUAAUCAUUGCCGCGCCCGUAGAUCGUGCAGACGAUCACCGCCCGAGCUCGACGUAGCAACAACGGCGACGGCCAGGUGAUGGACGGAAUGGUGGCUGACAUGCAGUAGUGCCCGUAGCUACUACACAUGCAUGUGGGGGCUAGCUUGCAUUGCAUGGUUUGUUCGUGGAUUGUGAGUGGCAUUUCCGUGUCAACCCCCGCUUUCCGACGGCGCCACGCGAAUUCCGUUACUCCAGCGAGACACCCAGGCACAGUAAACCCUUCUCUCUUUUUUUUUGCCCCGGUCAGUGAUGAAGCUACCAGUGUCAGUGAGCGAGUGAGUGAGGUGAUCGUGCAGGGUGGUAGCCAUCGUGACAGAGCAAAAGAGCACGGAAAGGGAGAGGGGCGGCGAGGUGCGUGGCAACAUCUGGCGGCCGUGUCGGGCCAUGUGUCCGUCCUCCCUUCCUUCCGCCGAGGAAUUUCUCGGUGGGGUUCGGAGUUAACGUAGGGAAUAAUCUGACACCAACGUUAGUGAUCAUCCAGAGAGGAGAUCAUGGGUCAGCCGGUGGCAGUGACGGACGAUGGAUAUUGGACAGACGAUGCUGCUAGCUGGGGGAGUGUGUACGUGUCCGAACGCGUAGAUGAUGGAUGCUCUCUUUUUGAGCUGAAAGCAAUUCGAUCCAUCUGUGUGCUUGUUUUGGUGUUUCUUUUUGUUCACUAGAGAGCUGAUCGAGCUUCUGGAUAGUCGGGGAGGGGUAGUGGGGGGAUAUCGAGAGAUGAUUCUGACUUUGCACGAGCUAACACUACUAGCAUGUACUGGUAGUGAUGGAUUGGAAAAGGGACGUGUGGUUAACUAGUGUUGUGUUAUGGCUAUCGACGCUUGCUUCGUUCCCAAUUUAACUGCAUGCGUUACCUCCAUGCAUGGAGCGUACGUGGAGCAUGGAGCAUGGAGCAUGGAGCAGGGAGCAGGGCCGGCCAUCCCCCUCUUUUCUCUGCGACCUUUCUUUAUUGUAGGCUCACUACUCCCUCGCUAGCUUUUGUAACAUGCAUGAUCAUGUACUUUGCCGUAGUGAUUAGUUUACUAAUACAAUGUAAAGGAAAGGGAGCAGCAAGCAGGGGAGGGGGGUUUUGCUUUUUUUCGUUUUCAGAAAGAUCUACUGGGCUCACUCGUUCACUCACUCCGGUACUACUUCUCCAUCCAGUCUUCAGGAGCAUCAUGUGCUUUGAUUCAUUCUGUCCCUCCAAAGCCGUGGGGAAUUGCUUUACAUGGACAUGAAUAUCUCAUCUACUCCAUCAGAUAUCAGAUAUGAUCAACGAGUCAUAAACUUUAGUAAAUUAGGUAGCUGAAAAGAACUGUGGCAGUUUCCAAUCUGUGCACGGGCUCCCAUAAUUGAAUCGAUAUCCCUUUAACUUAGCUCACUGCUCACCCUAUGUGGGGCAGUUCAUUUGAGUAGUAGCAGUAUAGUUUGAGAUCAAUAGUACUUUCAGCAAUGAACAAUUGGUUGUCCAUCUUCCAUGGCCAUGAUUACCAUGCAUUUCCCUUCUUGUACUUUGCCAUUUUGACUGCCAAUUUAAAUUCAUCUGCUACUCCAACCAAAAGCACAGCCACAAAAGCACACACGACGAGCAGCAGCAUUAAACAAAUUACCCAAAGCGAGUUUGAUUAGUUAAAUUAGCAUGAUAAUCUUUCCGAGUUAUGACAAAGUUUUGGCAUCAGGAUGGCAUCAUGCGCGGGGCGUACGCGGGUGUGGCCUACACGGCCGAUCAUGCGCGCCAACGGCACAACUCGUGCAUGGCGCACCGGGGCGGAAAAGGGCUCCGAUUCUCGACAUGCAAUCAUCACGGCGGCGAGCACCCGGCGUUCGCUCGCUGCAUGCGUCGACGCCGCUGCCGUUGCCUCCAUGGCAGUUGCCCGGGAGCUCGGGCGUCUCGUUUCCUUCUUUUUCUUCUUUUUUUCCUCUUGAGCCCAUGCAUAUGCGUCGCACCAGCUAGUAGUAGUACGACCGCUAUAGGUAGUAGGUCGUGGACGCGAGCAUUAGCGAGCGAGAUCUGGCAUUAUAUUCCUGGAAUGAUUGAUGAUCCAUGCUUCAGUUGAUUCGCUGACAUGCUUGAGCCCUUUUUCGGCUCUCAUUUAUGUCCAAAGUGGGGGAAAAAAGGGUGCCAAAAGAAUCUUAUUCCCUGGCUGCCCUGCUCUGCUUCAAACCAGCACCUAACGCCCACACUGCAAGAGUUCCUAAGGUCACAUAAAUGAAUUUCGUUGUAAACAUUUUGGCUUCCAGUUGAUUCAGGGGAAAUAAAGAAAUUGGCUCUGCUUGCUCAAUACCUUGGCCUGAAUACAAAGAAGUAAAGAUCAACAGCCUCAACCUUGGUUCCUUGAUCCUGCCUAACCAUAUCCAAGUGCCUUUCCUUUCCAACCCCAUCUCACCAAACGGCGGCCACCAAACCGAUUACCGAAUACUCCAUGCUGCACGAUCAUGGCCCAUCACAACGGUGUCCAUCCGCCAUUCAUCAGUGGUCGCCCCAGAUCUAGGCAAUGCCUGAACCUGAAGCUUCAAGGAAUCAAGGGCAACCUGGUAUCUCCUCUCCUGCACACGUGCAAGCUGCUGUUGCCAGUUACUCCAGUUCACGGCACAUAUCAGUUGUACUACAAAACCUGCGAUUAACUGUUUAAUCUCCAUCCUUUGUUGACUACAAUACAUGCUGAAGUCCAGGAGCUCUACAACCAUCUGGCUUGGCAGAGCAGCAAAGCCAAAGUUUGCACACCACACAGGGAGACUCAUCCGCAGCAGCGAUAUUCCCACAUGCCACCUUGAUAACAAAACCUGGGUUGCUUUUUCUGAAUGGUUGAGUGAGUCAGACACUUGCAUGCUAAUCUACAGGCGCCGCAGCUGACAGCAGCCGGGGAUUCAGAUAUUGGAUUCUCGGGCACUGUAGCUCACUUUACAAAAACGUAGCUACAGGGACAUAACAUGAAGCGUCACCUUUUCCUUUCUUCCCAUGAAGCGGACAGCUCCCACUGCAUGGCUUCUCCAGUUCGCCUUUGGCAUGUCUACCGAGCAUGAGACCCGGGGAGCAGGCGAAGUGGCAGCCUCCAUCAGCAGAAGCCUAUGUGCAGGCUCUCAAGAUCAUCCAACUUGCAGCCCAGGGCUCAGACCAACUCCCACUCUCAGUGCAGACGCACUAUGCAUAGGAUGGGGAAACAGGCAGGCAUGCCUGAGCAACAAGUGCAGAUCAAGCCAGCACCAUCUGGGAAUCGGAUUGCGACUCGUCACCAGAGCCAUUCAUGGACGAAGAUGCAUGCAAUCCUCCCUGCCCAAGCCGCAGCACAACAGAAAAGAAAAAGGUAAAGAGUCAGGAGCAAGAGCAACCCAGACAAGGUAACAAAUAUGACCAAGCCAGCAGGUAGGGGCUAGAGUGCCCAUAUAGAACCAACCACACAGCAAUAACAAACUUCUAGUUUAUUUUAGCAGCAUGGUUCUCCACGAUAGGGAAGCAUGCAAAUUUUCAACACCAAAUAAACUCAAGGCACUAACCAGAUGGAGGUGUGAGUGACAUCCCUGGAGAUUUGAUGUCAACACACCGAAAGGAAAUCAUUUACUAGGCAAACUAUGACAGAGGCUGUCCUUUUAGCAUGCAUAGCUCCAUCCACUUGCAAAGUUGCUCCACCUUGUUAGUGAUCAAACCUCAGUGCUUCCACCGUUAUGACCUGUUUACACGCUAUAACGAACUUUUAUUAAAUUCAAGACAAGAUUCAGUAAGGUUCGUGCCAACAUGCAUGAUAGAGACACCCUUACUUUUCCCCAUCAGAAACCGAUGUACAUACUUUAUUACCAUGAUGUAAAUACUUGCCCAAUGAAUUCACCAUGCGAUCAAGACUUUACUGCAGGCACAUAGGCCUGCAUGCAUCGUUGCAGCUCCAUAGUAAUUGCCUGAGAUUAAAAUCAGCAUCCUUUCAGACCAUAAUCACAGUCACUCCCUAAACUCGAGGGGUUACUAUAAUAUCUGAUAAUAGGUCAUUUUAAAUUAAAACAUUAACCUUCCAAUUCACGCUAUAGAAUAUGAACUGAGCAACUAUUAAGUUGACCUCGAUGACUCUUGACUUCUCUUGUUCCUAUGUCUUCUUUUGUAGAUCCAAAGCAAUACAGCUAGCAUUAAGACCCAAACUAAUACAUAUUUUAUCAUUCACAUUCACAGGUACACAUGUGUAUUUUGGUCUUACCGUUGUACCCAGCACUUAGUCUUAGAAAUACAAAACCGGAACAGAUUAAAAAAAUGGGCUAUAACUGAAUUCUCUUGUUCAAAUCAACCAAGAAUGCUGAACUGGAAUAUAAACCAACCAGGCUUGAGGCUUCGGUACAAGUUUAAUAUCAGAUCUGACAUUAAGCUGCCAAGAUCAAGACUGGGCCAGGCCUACCAAUAUCAUCAAGUCCUAGGCCCAUUGAAUCUGUGCGGAGAAAGAUUGAACUGACUGCCCAUCUGCCCCUAGUUAAAUACUAAUUCAGUGUUGCCAAUGGGAAAUGAUAAGCACACAAAUAUAACAGUAACCACCAAAGUUUCGUUUCCAUAAAAAUAGAGUUAUGCCAUGAAAUUAAUAUAUAAGAGGGAAAUCUAGAAAUUGAUCUUACAUCUACAUAAUAAAGUCAACAAACUAUGUGCAGAUAAAAAGACUGAGCCCGAACCUAUACUAUUAUAUGUGUUUUGCAAUAUGGCAAUGUCUGAUGCCAUAAAUUAAAUCUUAUCAUAAAGAAAAGACCAAAUUAAGAAGAUGUUCAAAGGUUCUAGUCCUCAUUACAUUAAUUCUCGAGCUGUCAGCUGACAAAAUAUCACUGCAUCUUAGAUGAUAAAAGGGGCUACCUUGGAUAAUUAUGUCCGACAGAGAUUACCUAACUGAAACAAGACAGAACAGCCUUCCAAUAACAAUCUACCAUUGCCAAGUAAAACAUCUGCUUUUCUUUAUCCCAGAAAUACGACAGUUCUAACACCAUUUUUUUUAAAACACAUCCAGCAAAGCAGUUCAAACAUUAAUACAACCUGGCCUCUUUCUUCUAAUAUUCAAAACUUGGAUAGACUCGAAUUACAAAGUGAGAAGAGUAGUGACUUAUAAUCUCAGACCUUGUAACAGAGGCACCCUGUGAAAUGAUAGCAUAUAAAAGGGGCAUCAGAACACCUCAGUGCCAAAAAUUUCCACUGCUACUGCAUACCAGGCCACUAAAAGGUAGAAGAACUACUCGGCAGCGAGGUCAAUAACAGAAGGACUAAGGGCUUGACUUGAAUAUUAAAUGCCCAUCAGAUGUAGCAAAAUACGAGGUACUUUAUACAAAGCCUGGAUUAACUUUAAUGAUAAUGGUAGCCCAUAAAGAAAAGCAAGGAACAAAAGAAAACAUGGUAGUCAGGUAGUAUCAACAAAAUUCAAAAUUACCAUAAGUGUUUUGACUAGGGCAGGCUAAAGAGAAAGCAGGGAGACAGGGGAUGAAGGAAUUAAACCAAAACUAGUAUCUACAAAAAUGGAAGGUCCGAAUAUCCUAGCCCAAGUUAAAUUUCAGAACUAUGAUGUGCCCUCAAGCAGUCUGAGUCUCCUAGGUGGUCAUGGAAAUGCCAAAUUACAUAAACUGCUGAGGACCAAUUCGGAGAGGAGUAACACAGUAGCAUAUUCUGCUUAAAUUACAAACCAUUGUGAUUCUAAACACUUCAAAGAGUGCAUCCAAUGUGGAACCUUCAUCUUCCAUAAAAGCAUAUGUGAAUGUGACAAUAAGGGGGCACAAAAGGCAUAUACAUGAGACUCGGAACUAGGUGACGUGAAACUAAGGGACUGCUUGGAAAGGGGAAUUUGGAUCCAAAUCCUUGGAAUCCUGAAACUCUGGAGAGCAAUCCCCUUGUUCCAAACAGGUCCUGAUGCAAAUUACACGACCAAAUAGCAUCUGCAACUCCCUGUGGUGUUUUGGUGGCAAAACAACAUUUGUUUUCCAAGCGAACAGAAGAAACAUCAAACUUUAAUACUCAAGUUAACAUGUCUUCUGCCUCUAAAGAAGAAGGGAUUCCUAUAGCACAAGAGCAAAGUGAAAGUACACAAGUAAUCUUGAACAGGUCAGAACUCAUAAGUACAUUCAGUAUCAUAUGGUCAAUUUCGUUUACUAUGUAAAGAAAUUAAACAUCUAGAAUGAAAACAGCUCAUCUCAAUGAUUAUGGGUAAAACUAAAGCAAAGGCAAGCUGCAUUGCUUAACACACACUGAGGGUUGUCGAUACCCAAUUACAGUAAGACAAAAUGUAACCAACUCCA
rnacentral:lncRNA from 1 species